rnacentral:lncRNA from 1 species
AGUGGCGGACUGGCUGGCCAAUAAUGAGGAGAUGAGACGCUCACGCUCUUCUUCAGUUGGGCUUGCGGGCUUUCAUAUAGACGUCGAGAAGGCAGGAGGAUGCCAGCGAGCUUCUCCUUCCUGAACUCAUCCGCUGGAACCGGGGCCAUGACGGGGAUGGUCGUGGUACGUCUGAGGCCAUCGACGCGAGAAGGGCAUGGAGCAGAGCAACGCGUGCGCACAUGUUUACUGGGCAUCACGGGGCUGGCCGCGUCAGGGGCGGCCGAAGCCGCUGAUCGUCAGGAGGCAUGGAGCAGAGCAUCCCACUGGAAUCCGAACCACCACAGAGAUGGCCGGGUCUGGUGCGCCCGAAGAAGCCAGUGCGAGAAAGGCCCGAAGCAGAGCGAUGCGUCCGAGGUUGCUGGUGCGAGGAGGGACGGGAGCAGACCAACGGCGUGCGCACAUGUUGAUUCAGCUGCGCGGGGAUGUUCGCAUCCGGCAGGGAUAGCUAGAGCUCCGAUGCGCCUACAAUCAGAGGGCAUCAGCGUCGAAUUGCAACAAUCGUGGUACUGGAGGGACAGCAAGAUUGGGCAUAGCAGAGUGGUGGGGAAGGGGAAGAAUAAACGGCGGCAAGGAGGGGAAGCCGAGAAGGCAAGCCCACUCAUUUGGGCUUCAUAACUGUAUUGAUUGGAAGUCGGAAGUAGAACAUGCGCUGAUGUGCGGCAUGUGCCGGUGAAUUGUGUAGAGGUGAACAGAGAGGAGGUUGCCUUGAAUCCGAUGGCUACCUAUAAUGCAUGCCUUGAUCUAUGGCUAGAAUUAAUUAGGGUGACGUGGCUUAAGAAGAAGUAAGAUAAUUCCUUAUAAUGGGGAGCUCCUAUUUAUAUAUAGUACUCCCUCCAUUCCCUUAUAUAAGACCACUAUUAAAAAUACAUUUUGCAUCAAUACAAGGCCACCAACAGUAUGAUAUUUUCUCGUACUAGCAACUUUUUAAUACUUACAUGCAUAUAGUCAUAAUGACACUCAACCACUUCAUUCCCAUUCAUUCGUUGCAUGCUUGUGGUGUAUUAAUGAUCCCGAUUAACGAAAAGAAAAGUUGACUUCCAAACAAGUCAUUAAAUUUUAUCUUGGUACAUGUAAUAUGAGCUUGGCCUUGUAUAAGACUAGCCACAAUGGGUAGUAACAUAGAAUAGUAACAUGCCCAUGUUACUACUCUAUGUUACUACCUCUAUAGUGGGGAGCAACAUAUGUGUGGUAACAUGCAACACUUCAUUUAUUAGACCAUAGACUCAUUUUGCCUUGAUAUGUGUGAUGUUACUCAUACUAGUAGUAACUAGCUAUGUUACCACAUGCCUCUCUUUCUUCAUUUAUUGCUUGCCACAUCAUGCAUUUUAUCUAGAUAUGUGUGAUAUUACUACCUAUGUUACUCCCAUUGUGGGUAGUCUAAGGGAAUGGAGGGAGUAGAUAAAUUGGCAGCGACGUUCCCCUAAAAAAGACAAUGGUCAUAACCAUUAAUAAAUAAUAAUAAUAAUUUCAGAUAUCCUUAUUUAGUACUCGGCCUCACGUAGCUGGCGCCGCCUCUCCCAAGUUUAGGUUUUCUCCGCCUCUCGCCGCCGCCGCCGCCGGUCCGCCUCGUCUCUAGUGGCUUUAGGGCGAUGGAAGCGCGGUGGAUCCCGGCCCUCGUUGAUUUAUAUGGUAUUUUAAGUUUUGUUAGGGUUUGUGCCCUGCUCAGGAAGGCAAGAUAGCGGCGGCUCCUGAAGAUGGAAUAAGGUUCUCUCCAUCUAGCCCCCGUUCUGAUGGUGCGUAUAGCAUCGUUAGUGAGCAUAUGGAGAUGUGUCUCUGACGGAUCUAUCUUUGGUGGAUCUGCUCGAAUUUGUUCGUCAUUCGUCUACGUUUGUGUGUCUUUAGAUUGGAUCCUUCCGGUCUACACUACUCUUUAUCGGCGACGGUAGUUAUGGUACGCUGGUCCUGCGGGGCCUUACCACGACGACUUUCCGACUGUCUAGUACAAUAAAUUUUGCUAUAUUCCGACGAGGGAAGGGCGAUGACGGUGGCGCACUUUUCUUGUAGUCAUCGCUAGAUAGUUUAUGAAUCUGGAUGUAAUUUUUAUUAUUUUUUAUGUUCGUUGUACUGCCACGAUUGAUUUUAUUUUUUGAAACGAAGCUACGCGCACGGAGGACGAAGCGUCUUUGGCUUUUUGGGUGCAUCAGCUUGGUUCCUAGCAUAGGUUCUUAACUGAUGCCAUGUAUUUCCUUCCGGCCCCCUCCCCUCUGUUUUUCUACUCUCUUUAGGCAACUUUAUGGCCUCUGCACUACAAUGCGUAACAUAAGUUUCUUAUAAGUGAACUUUGAUCACCGGGCGGUGGCCUGUUUUGAAAUGCAUAAGUAGAGUGAGAUAUACUUUUUAUUUCAAAAGAAAAAAACAUAAUUAAACAUGAAUAAAUCAAAAGUUUUCUAAAAAAAAACAGAUAUCCUUGAAUCUCCCAACAUCACUCAAGCAACAUUAAAAUCUUCUCGCCUCGUGCACUCAAAUCUUCUCGUAUAGAUCCUGCAAAAAAAAGUCUUCUUGUAUAGCCAUAUCCCGUUUUUUUUUCUUUUUUUAACAUGGGAAGGGGACUAGAAAGUCCCCGAAGCCGCUUCACAUAAGAAAAGUGACAGUACACCAUAAAGAGGACCCUGGGAGAACUGCAGUUAGAGACACGUCCUCUCUAUUUGCAAACAGGACCCUAAGGAAAUUAAGCGUAAGGAAAUUAAACUGACCCAAAUUGCUCCUUCAGAUUGCAGGAUCCACGUGGCAUUCAAGGUCUCGAAGGUAGAUUCCGCGUCCGCACCCAGUUUGCGGGCUCGACGCGCGUGCGACCGGCUUCCUCCGUGACAGUCAUCAUGCGCGCCUCCUCCGCGCGGGCGGAGACGACAAUGACACGCUAGUUCCUCCUCGCCGGUGUGCUGGAGCACGCACUCGUCCUCCUCUUCAUACGCUGCGUGCAUAGACGCGGCUCCACCAGCUGCUCGCGUGCUUGGCAGUGCGGCGGCAUGGCAAGGAGGGACUGCAGACGACAUGAGCGGGCGAGCCUUCGGCUUCAUGGCACAGGGAUGGCGGCGACACGGCGGUGAUGGGCGAGAAAUUAUUGGCCGGAGUAGGCGGGCGCCGACAUGCGCAACGGUGGUGGCGGCAUAUUGAUGAGUGCGCGUAUGGAAGCUUACUUUAGUUUUAUAUAAGGUUGGUCAAACUUAAAAGAAAACCGUACUAGUACACGUAAACAUUAGACUUAGGCAGCGCUUUUUUUUGAAGUUAGUACCACAGCCACGAUACAGAAUUAUGUGCAAGCGCGUGAACCGUGGCCGCGGGGUCGAUCGAACGGUGCGUCACCGUGUCGCGCUUGAAGGACAUCCACCGAACCUUUUUUUGUGUGUGAAAACAAUCCACGAAUAUUACUCAACUUCUUUUUCCUAGGAAAGUUCUUGACGCUGCAAUAUUUUCAUAUAUUUGAAUUUAGCUCCACUUUGUGUUUAUUUGGAUUUGGACGUUUUAGGUGCGCCCUAGUUUUUUUAAUACUUAUUUUGUGUGUGUGACUGAGAGAGAAUGUGUGUAUGUGUCCAUAUGUGUGUUGUGGUGAAAGGGCAAUGUGGAGACGGUGUGCGUGUGAUACAGAUAUAGAGAGGUGUGAAUGUGCAAAUGAUCAUGCAUGAGUGAGACAUAGACAUAUGCCGAUACGUUGUGUAUACAUGAGAGAACGAUCUUCUACUUUACUUGUGUGUGUGUGUGUGAGAGAGAGAGAGAGACAGAGAGAGAGGAGCAUCCGUAACAUAACAACCAUCUCUCUCGAUUCGUCCGUCCCUCGCACGAUCGCAUGCAACACAUGCAUCAACACGCACAUUUUGACACCCUCACUCGGUCCCUGCCCACCUCAAGGCCCGCACAAUCUCUUCGUGAAUACCCAUUUCUCUCCUUAGGUUUGUUUUCGCUCAAUAUCUGACACACACACACACGCAGCACAACACACACACACACACUCCCCGAGCACACAAUUCAUCCCCAUCCAAGGUUAUACGGCGACCACUUUCGCUUGUGCUUCUUUGCACCCCAACAUGCACAACACCUCAAUCUUCAAAGAGGGCAUCGAGAAGAUCGAAGACGGCGACCACACCACGCUAGAGAAUGCGGGGUCAUUUGGAAGUAGGGUGAUGUGACGAGGCUGACUGACUCCUCCCCCCACCCUCUAUCUCUUGCACAAAAUUACCAAUCCCUCUCUCCCCCGCACAAAAUUGUCAAUCCCUCAACCCAUGAGAUCCUUCCCCUGUCGUCCAUGUUUUUCUAGCUCUCUCAUCAAAUAUGUUGUCUCUUCUCCUUCCACAUAUACAGAAUCCGGAUGCACACGCAUCUCACGUAUAUUACAUGUCUCAAUCUUUCUCACAUACCUAACUUCUUCCUCUCUCUUUCUCUUUCUCUCUCUCUCUCUCUCUGUCUCGUUAGGUUUGUCUCCUACUCUCUCGUCCACAUACAUACAAUCUUUCCCGCCCUAUCUGCUCCAUCUUCAAAAGCUCUCUCUGCACAUUUCAUUCACACAUUGGGAUAUGUCAAAAUGUUGCUUCUAUAAUGGCUGAUGUAGAGUUUUGGUUGUUUUUGUUGCAUCCUACAAAGUAAUAACUAUGAAAUGCAUUUAGAUUCUCAUUUGACUGGGAUUAUGUGAAUUCGAGCAUGUUGUGAAGUACUAUAGACCUGGUAUACAUCUUGGGAUUCGACAAUGAUUGUUACUAUUGAAUUGUAUAGACCAUUACAUUCGAAGUCAAUAGCCUAAUAUAUUUAUUUCACAAUUUCAACAAAUGAUUAGUUCACUACAAACUAAGAAAACAAAUGUGUACUCCCUCUGUUUUUAUUGAAGUCCGCAUAUUAGCAUUGGUCAAAGUCAAGUUUUGUAAACUCUCAGAAAGCUUAUAACAAAAAAUGUUAACAUAUACAAUAACAAAUAAAUACCAUUAGAUUCAUUAUUGAAUGUACUUUCACAUCAUACAUAUUAGUUAUGGUAAAUGUUUAUAUUUUUAUAUAAACUUGGUCAAACUUUAGGAAGUUUGACUUCGGUCAAACCUAAUAUGCAGAGUUUACUACUACUACUCGCUAGUUGCUUAGCCAAAUCACUCAACACGCCUCACGGGGAGUCCAGUGUCACAAAAUUUUGAGGUCGGCGGGAAAAUCUCCCGCGACCCUGAUUCGAGCAGUGGGAAGUUACCAUCAUAGCCUUCGGAAUAGGCCUAUGGACGACGCUUGGUAGGGGGCUAUUUUCGUAACUUCAGGUUCACCCUACCUAGCCAACCCCACCCCAACACCCAGAGUAGUACACCUGAAUACUCCCCAUUUUCCAUCCAACCGCAAAAUAGACUUCUCCACGGCACCGCAGCCUUUGUGCUCCUCCCCUUUACAUUGGCACUCGUCCACCGCAGCGCAUCUGCCUCAUCGAUGACCUCGUACGCCGCACUGGAGCCGGUCCACCAUCGUCGUCAUAGACGGAGCCUCUUCCCCGAUAUCGUCUUCCACGGUCUCGGAUCUGCUUCCCGGAAGCCGACGCCAAGCGCAGAAGUACCACCAUCAUGGACAAUGAACUGACUCCCGUUGCCGACCAUGACUCACAGAGGCCGCCACGACCAUCGUUCUCCUCCUCGAUUGGUAAUGUGUGUAUUGAAUCACUUAGCAAUACAUGUGCAGUUCCAAUUUUGUUCAUACCUACCCUUCAAUUUUCCUGGCUGCUAUUGUUCCCGUAAAAGUAAUUGGUUAUAGCCUCCAUUGUCCAACAGAAUAUCAACUUGUAAUUGUGCGUCGCUCUUGUAUCGCGUUGUGCUUGGGUAGGUUUUUCAUCUGCAACUAGUAGUGUGGCAAAUGAUGGAAAGGUUUUUAGAACUAUCAAGAUGCCCAUGCGUUGCACGCAUCAAGAUGCAUUUGUAUGAGUAGUUUAUCUUGUGGGAGAAAAGGAUGAACGAGGGAAGGCCUUAUUUGCAAAUCUGGAGAGGGGUAUGGGUAUCUUUUUGCAAAAUUCCCAUUUGUUUCCUUCCUAUCUGUCAGAUAUAAAUCGUACGGCCUAUAUUGCAAGAAAAAAGUAGACAGUAAAGGAAGUAGAGAUAAAUAUUAAGUAUAAAAUAUAAAAUAAAUAUAACCGUAGAGAAGAGAGUAGAGAUAGCAGAGACGUCGGGAAAGGAUCGCGCGCGCGCGGGAAAAAGUGGCCGGGCGUGCACUAGUUUUGGCACCAAGGCAUUGAGUGCCAUUCUGGAUGCAAUGAAACUCAUACGCUCCCCACCUGUUGACUCUUGUUCAGAACAUGACCCUAAUGACUAUUCUAACCUCGAGGAGUCAAAGGCAGAUGGCCUGUCCUGUUCACCCAUCAAGGUGCCUGUUCUAAUUUGGCAAUGUUUUAUUGAUUGCGCGUAUCUUGCAUAUGUUGUCUUGCAUUUAUUCUACUUUGUUGCACCACCAUCUGCUUAGUUUACUCAUCAUAUAUGUCGAGAUGCCAUGCCCAUCCAUUAUCAAUCCAUAUUCCAUCUGUCAUCAUACCAUGUUUUUCCACUCAAAUGCUGUUUGUGUGCAUCAGACAUCAAAAGGGAAGAGGGUGAUUGCCGAACCUGAAGGAGCACCAGCAAAGUCCUUUAAAAAUGUGGUGGUGCCGGAGAAAUGAGACAGCACCCCACUUAUAUUGGCUGUACAACCAGUGACACAAAACAUAGGACCGACUCAGCAGACUGUACCCAUACUUCACUGGCCACACCACUAGCCCCACCACACAGGACCUGCACUCCAGCAAAAGGUAUACCGAUUUCAUUUUCCAUAGCACCAUCUGUACCACAGAAAAAUCCCACUCCAGCAAAAAGUACAGCAAGUCCACCGGCUGAAGACCUAUCCCAACUGCAGAGACGGCCAAUUCUUGCAGAUUGGAACCCCAUUCCAUUUAUUCCCAGUUUAAAAGACAAUGCUUUCAAUGUUGUUAGGGACUACGUGCAUAUAUUCACAUCAUGGGAAGAUUAUUGUGAAGACAAACACCAUUUUCACAUCUUCCUGUCCAACUUACAUGUAAGUGCAAUUAUUCAUGGUUAUUAGUUUCCUGUUUUCUGCUGAUUGAACACAUCAAUGAUUUGCAUUACAUUGUUGUAACUAGGCGAGGGUCAAUCUGGAUAGUCAUGACGAGCAAAGCUUGCUUGUGCUUUUCAAGGAAGCAUUGCAGCAGUAUCGGUGUUACCUGAGGAAAUCACACUUUGGUGGCAAGUCUAUAAACGAAUUUCCGGUGAAGUCUCCUGUGCUAAAUUUAGAAGACAUUGAAUGGAAAAACCUUGUUAUGCACUGGUCUCGUUCCCAGGAUGAGGUACUGUCUAUGAAAUCACAUGACAAUUUGAACUUCUACUUUUCCGUAUGUGCCUUACGGAUCUUUUUUGCAGGAAAUCUGCCCGAAGAAGAAUUCCGGUUUGAAAAGAACGACAUGAUAUUAGAAAUAUGCUGCCCGCUGUUUUGCUCUUGUUAGUACCUGUUGUCCUGUAUCACUGUACUUGCAUACAUACCUGGUUCAUUAUGUGACAUCAGUAUGCAUGAUAGCUUGCUUAUCAAUUGUUCGCUCCAAAUUAUCUGAUCUGUAUGAAUGGUUACAUUAGUGUAGAAUAUAUCCAAUGCCAAUGUUUUUUUAGCUCUGCAUUGUUCUUGUAAGUACAUGCUGUCCUUUAUCAGUGUACUUAUAAUGACAGGUAGUUGUUCAUGUACCAUCACUCUGCAGCUUAUUUUCCUUUGCCCUCCAUUUUCUACACAUCAGAUAUAUAUUUACUCUUACCAUAAGGUUGGUACUGAAGAAGUUUAGUUGUGCAUUGAUCUUGGCUAUACCUUUUGCCUGUAUCGCUGCACUUACAUUUAUAGCUACUUGGUUAUGUAGCAUCACUCUUCAUCUUAUCUUAAAUAUUCUCCAUUUUUUCGUAUAUUAUCACAUCUAUAUUUACUCUUAACAAAAUGUAGAACAAAGGCAAUGCUUGUGAAGAAGAUUCUGUGGUAAACUUCUUGAAUUGCCCCCCCCAUCAGCACGGACAAGGCCUUUAUAGAGCCUGUCUUCACCAAUAAUGUAAGUUUGUCCAUCUCAAGCCCUCAAACUUUGUUGUAUAUAUUUGGUUAGGAAUGACUGCAACAGCUGUUUAUUUUUGGUCUUUGCAUCAAAUUGCAUGUUUAAAGUUUAUUAUGUAGUUCAUAAACAAAAGUUUGUCCUUUCUCAAUUAAGUUUUCAGUUGUACAACCAAGUUCCUUAUUCAUACCAUGUAAAUUAAACUAUACAGAGCAAGUGAUCUUCCUUUGCACUGCAUGUAUGGUUCUGUUCUUCAUCUGUAAUCCAGUGGUAUGGUGAACCUACCCACUACAGCACAAUGUCAUAUUCUGCAAUGUCUUAACUAUGAACAAUGUCAUAUCAUUCUACUACUCCCUCCGUCCGAAAAUACUUGUCAUUGAAAUAGAUGUAUCUAGAUGUAUUUUAGUUCUAGACACAUCCAUUUUGAUGACAUGUAAUUCCGGACGGAGGGAGUAUUAUUUAAACCGACUCUUUAUUUGCCAAUCUGAAAUGGGAUAAAUUGACAACACACUAACCAUUGAUACUUAUGAUUUCUUGAUCUGUAAUCCAGUGGUGUCGUGAAGCUGCCAACUCCUUCACAAUGUCAUUUCUUGCCAUGUCUUGACCUGAACAAUACCAUAUUGUGUUAAUGCAAUUUUAAACUAUGUCACUUUAUUCGUCAGUAAGAAAUGUGAUGAAUUGUCAGCACUGAUACUUUUAUGUGCAAAAUCUGUCAUCUGUCUGCUUGUUUAUCUUUCAGAGUGAGGAAGAUUUAAGUGUUGAACAAGCGCAGUCUCAUCAUCUUGCUUAGCUGCUUGCGCUGCAGCUCCCCAGCAGGGCUAACCUUUCUUGAACUCUAUUGAAGUGCUGUCGGUUUUGUAUAUUAUUUUGUCGGCGUGUUUAUUUGCACUGGUGGCGAUCUUUGAUGCCCAGUGUAUGUAAUCUGCUGUCUGCUUGUGCUUUAUUAUCAUAGUGGCGAACUUUGAUGCCCAGUGGAUGUAAUAUGCUGUAAUUUCUUUAUUGUAUAGUCUAGGUUUUUUCUUAUUCACGAUGCUGCAGUUAUUUUACUGUAUAUAUAUCCUGUCUUCGCAGUAAAUCGGUGUCGUUGGCGGCUGUGGGCACGAGCACCUAUGGGGCAGGGAGCCCCUUCUGGUCCGGCAGGGAGCGGAGGGGCGCACGAAGAGCAGAUCGAGGUCGAGCGCGCGGGGGAAACGGGAGAUUUUUACCCAGCUUCGGAGCUCUUCGGAGAGAUAAAACCCCUACUGCUGCUUUGUGUUUGUAUUUGUUCUUCGCUAGAAAGCGUGGGUGUGCUGUGGUCUCGAGUGAGUCGAACUGACUGAACCCAAACGAGCCGAACCCCUUCUACGUGCGCAUGGGCCUCCCUUUUAUAGUCCAAAGGGGGUCACCGACAGGUGGCAGCGUAGAAAGAGGGGUUAAAAAGGUAAAAAUGCAGGUAGGUACAACUGCCAUCUACAGUGCCCCCUACCUAACUCUGACGGCAGGGGACAAGAGCAUUUAAUGCCCGUCUGGUCGCCCCAACAGUGUAGGAAACGACCGUUAGAGGCGCCACCGAUCGCCACGAUGGCCUCCUUGUCACCUUCACUUGCCACCUCGCACCGCUAGGCUGCACAGCCACCUGCCACGUGCACCGGGAGUGAUCCUGCGGCGACACGUCGUCAGGUGAGCUGGAGCGCAGGCGCAGAAUGGUGGCUUUGCCGCGGCAAGCGCCUUGGCUGGCCUUCCCGGCAAGUUCCUCUUGCCGGGGUCUUGCUCUUCCAGGCAAGCUCCUUUUGCCGGGGCCUUCGUCCUUCCCGGCAAGUUCCUCUUGCCGGGGCUUUGUCUUCUCAGCUGACACUUUGUUCUUGAAUGGCGGUGAAUGGGAGUGGCGGAGGAUCUUGGCGGACGCCCGGCAAGCUUUGCCACGGGGCGCUGCGACUGUCCGUGCCCAAGUUCGGGGUACUAAGGUACCCCUACUUUAGUACACCGACAGGAGCCCCCGGGCCUGUGCCAUACACGGUGCCGAGCGCUGUUGGGCCAGGCCCAAAACAGGGCACGGGCACGCGCGGCCUGGGGCCACACAAAAUCUGACUCCGUACCCACCGCGCUCUCCCGUAACGGCACGCGUCAAUCGCGGCGUCGUGGGAGACGUGGGUGGCGUGCGCGAUUUUCGAGGCAUCCACCCCCUAUGAUCACGGGGCGGAGCGAGAUCACCUCAUCCGUCGCCUUGGCUCUGCACCUCCGCCACGCGGCUCCCAUGCGCCUGGGGUCACGGACGGUGGGAGUGGGAAACUGGGCCGUUGCGAUUCCCGCGCCUUGAUUGGCUGAGCGGGGCGGCCGAGCCCCCACCUCGCUCCUUUAAGAAGGGCGAGAGGGGGGGGGGGCGCAGAAAACCCGCACUCUCCCAUCUCCUCCUUUCUUCAGCUUCUGCUCCCCCUUUCUCACAUUUGCCAUGGAGAAAGGGAACCCUGGUUCUUCAUCGGUGGCGGCGAGGGUCGCCACCAGACAGCGCGCCUCUCCCUAUCCCGCGCCUGUGGUGGCAGAGCCAGCCACAAGGGGAAGGGGGAGGGGGCGAGGUCGUGGACGAGGUCGAGGACGCGGCCGGAGCGCUCGGGGAAGAGGCGGACGGGGACGCGCGCCAUCUCCGCCUCCGCCGGCGGCUCCUCUCCUCACGGCGGUCCACACUGGGGACGACCCUUGCGAGUUCUUUGUCAGGCUGCGCCGGGCGCCUCGUCGUCGCCUCCGGCUCCCGGCUCCAUUUGCGAGCAUGAUGGAGGCGGACCCGCCCGAGACGCUAAGGUUGCACAUGAGGGGCUGUGGAAUCAAUGGUACGCGAGUCCACGUUGUAUUCCCAGCCCCCGAUGUGAUGUAUCUUGACCGUGGGUGGAAGACGUUCGCUCGCAUCCACAGCUUGACGGCGGGGUUUACCCUCCAUUUUAAGUUAAUGGAGGGCGACCUUCUCUCCGUCAAGGUCUUCGGGGACUCCGGCAUUCGAGCGAGGUGCUGCGUGGAUAGCUCCUCCGACAGCGAAGAUUCCUCCUCGAGCGAGAGUGACGAGGAGGAGAGCGACAGCGACGACGAGGGUAGCGGGCGGCGGGAUGACGGGUCCGACUAGGUGUCGGGCGCCGCUUCGUGUGCCACCGGCGACCCCAUCAUCCGUGUUGCCGGCGCCUUGAACUCCCCGGGGUCGUCUCCUUGGGCGGCUGGCGUAGGGAGGCUGCGGAAGAGGAAGAGGGUUGGCGGCAAGGCCGUCAAGUCGGAGUACGAGGGCGUGGUGCCCUCGACAGCGUGCUGACGUCCUGCCGCCCCGUCUUCGAACUCUGCUUCCGGCGCCGCCAUCACCAUCCAGCCUCCGGAGGCUCCUGGGAUGUUCUCUUGGUGUCUUCUGGCACCCGUAGCUCGCCUAGGCGCCCCUUUUGCCCUCUUCGCCUCCUUAACCUACCUCCUGAAAAGAGGGACAGGAGAAGGGAUUACGGGCAUCUUAUCUUUUCAAUUUGUAAGCCUUCGGGCCUUAGCUAAAACUUAUAAUCCUCUCUUUCAUGUUUUUCAUCCUCUAUGGACUUGUACUGGAAUGGGAUGUUUUUUUUAAUGAAAAGGGGAAUGCUUGCCGGGUUAUAUCCUUUACUUGGUUCUAUGCCUUGUAUGUUCUUACCCUGCGUUUUGAGGAAACUUGCCGGCGUAAGCACACUUGCUGAGUGCGGAACAUCAGCAGCCCGCUGGCGGUGCUGCCUCCGGCAAGAAAACUUGUCGGGGCUAGUUGCAGCGCACUUGUAUUGUUGAGCGGACUCGAAAACAAAUCAAGGGCGCAACUUAGCCGUGAGUCGAUUCCUCCGCGCAUAUGUUUCCCAUACAAGGCACACUCGUUCAAGGACGCGGCUUCACAUUCCCCAGCCCAUAAGAGGAUGCAUGACGAGGGAUGAAAAACUUAUCUGAUAUCGCAGCCCCCGGCAACUCCGGCUUGCCGGGGAUGAAUCUUGGUAUUCGCAGCCCCCAGCAACACUGGCUCGCCGGGACCUAGGUGCCGGCGCUCCUUUCUUUGUUCUUGCCGCUGCUAGAUGCGUCAUAUGAACAACCUCUUAGAGCGCGGCAAGUUAUUUACUGCAAUAUAUAUCUCUAUCCUGAGCACUGCUUGCCACGUCAUCUCCUUUACUUGAUUCCAUCCCUUGUAUGUUUUUACCCUACGCUUAGAGGGAACUUGCCGGCGCAAGCACACUUGCUGAGUGCGGAACAUCAGCAGCCCGCUGGCGGUGCUGCCUCCGGCAAGAAACCUUGUCGGGGCUAGUUGCAGCGCACUUGAAUUGUUGAGCGGACUCGAAAACAAAUCAAGGGCGCAACUUAGCCGCGAGUCGAUUCCUCCGCGCACAGGUUUUCCAUACAAGGCAUGGUCGUUCAAGGAGUGUAACGCGGCUUCGCAUUCCCCAGCCCGUAAGAGGAUGUAUGAUGAAGGACAAAAAGACUUAUCUGACAACGCAGCCCCCGGCAACUCUGGCUUGCCGCGGAGGAAUCUUGGUACUCGCAGCCCCCAGCAAUGCUGGUUUGCCGGGGCCCAGGUGCCGGUGCGCCCUUCUGCUCCUUCCCUGUUGCUGUUAUUUUAGUUAUGAGAACAACUCAGUCAGUGCCGCAAUGAGUUACUUUUGUGAUGUAACUUUAUCCUGGGCAAUGCUAUGUUAUAUCCUUUACUUGACUCCGUCCCUUGUAUGUUUUUAUCCUUACGCUUUUAGGGAACUUGCCGGUGCGAACACGCUUGCUGAGUGCGGAACAUCAGCAGCCCGCUGGCGGUGUUGCUCCCGGCAAGAAACCUUGUCGGGGCUAGUUGCAGCGCGCUUCCAUUGUUGAGCGGACUCGAAACAAAGUUAAGGGCGCAACGUAGCCGCGAGCUGGUUCCUCCGCGCACAGGUUUUCCAUACAAGGCACGGGCGUUCAAGGAAUAUAACAUAAAAAUUUAAAAAUGACUGUGCUCUGCGCUCAAAUUUUGGGCAACUUAGCUGUGUUCUGGCAAGGCUGCACUUCUUCCUUGAUUCCCUCCCCUGUAUGUUUUCACCCUUACACUUUUUAGGGAACUUGCCGGUGCAAACACACUUGCUGAGUGCGGAACAUCAACAGCCUGCUGGCGGUGUUGCCUCCGGCAAGAAAUCUCGUCGGGCUAGUUGCAGCGCGCUUUCAUUGUUGAGCGGACUCAAAACAGAUCAAGGGCGCAACUUAGCCAUGAUUCGAUUCCUCCGCGCGCAGGUUUUCCAUACAAGGCACGGUCUUUCAAGGAAUAUAACCCAAAAAUUUGAAACUGACUGCUCUCUUUGCUCUACUUGCCGGUGGAGCUCGAUGGCACGUCCUCGAUGGUAGCGCAGCACUCCGGAAAGGUGCGCUUGCCGGAGUGGGCGCCAGAGCUGUUCUUGCCAGACUUAGUCUUUGGUGAAACUGUCUUUGCCUUCUUGCACUUGCUGGUGGAGCUCGACGGUGCGUCCUCGACGGCAGCGCAGCACUCCGAAGAGGUGUGCUUGCCGGAGUGGGCAUCAGAGCUACUCUUGCCGGACUAGGUCUUCUUCUUCUUCCCCCCGGGAGCUUCAGCAGCAAGUGGUUGGCACUCUGCUGCGGCUGCCUCUUCCCGGUAGAUCUUGUCGGUGCAGAUAAGUGCAUCCUUCUUGUCGCCUUGGACAGAAAUGACACUUAUCGGACCAGGCAUCUUGAGCACAUUGUAAGCAUAAUGAGAGGCUGCCAUGAACUUGGCAAGCGCCGGACGGCCGAGUAUCCCAUUGUAGGGCAAUGGGAAAUCAGCAACAUCAAAUGUGACUCUCUCUGUCCUGAAAUUUAGCUCGCUGCCAAAAGUUACUGGCAGUGUGAUCUUCCCCUUCGGCUUGCUCCUUCCCGGAUUUAUCCCUUGAAAGGUACCAGUCUCUUCGAGCUCGCUGUCGGGGAUCUGGAGCUUCUUGAGCACUGUGGAGGAGAUCAGAUUCAGGCCGGCCCCGCCGUCAACCAACAUCUUCGUGACCUUGAGAUUGCGGAUUGUCGGUGAGACCAACAUCGGCAAGCACCCGACCGCAGUGAUGCGAUCAGGGUGAUCCUCAGCGUCAAAGAUGAUGGGCGUGCUGGACCACUUGAGGGGCUUGCGCGAUUCGACGGAUGGUUCUGCUGCGCUCACCUCUCGCGCCCACUGUUUGAGUUGGCGGUGCGAGGUGUGCAGAGAAGCACCGCCGUCAAUGCACAAAACCUCCGUCGCCUUCUAAAACUCUUGGUCAUCAGUCUCAUCUUCCUCCAUUUCAUCAUCUUCAUCUUCGUCUUCGUCCUUGUCGCGGCCGCGGGGAGGUCUGUCUCCUUGUCUCGGCUUGGCCUUGCCGCGGUGCCCUCCCCGGGCGGGAAGCUUCUUGCUGGAUCCUCCGCCACCUCCCUGGGCCCUCUCCUUGUCGCAGCGCUCGUACUCAGCUUUCUGUAGCUCCACCAUCUGCUCAACUUUCUUGCAGGCUUGGAGGUCGUGGCCCUUGGUGCGGUGGAUCUUGCAGUACUGCUUGCCAGAGCCAUCCUGCUUGUCGGCGUUACCACAGCUUCGCCGGAGUCACCAGCUUUGGCCUUGUCGGAGCUGCCUCCGUUGCCGGACUGCUCGACAACUAGCACAUCCUUGGCCUUUCUCUUUCUGUUGUUCCGCCUCCGGUUCUUCCUUGCCGGGGCGGCAUCCUCACUGUCAGAUCCUUCUGCUCUUGUAGUCUCUCUGGGGAUUUUCCUCCCUUCCUCAGCCCGUGCACACUUGUCGGCCAGAGCAUAUAGCUCGCUGACAUCUCUGAUCUUGCACAUCGCCAUAUCCUCCCUCAUCCUGCGGUUACGCACGUUCUGAUGGAACGCGCUGAUAACCGCGGCAGGGUGGACGUCUGGGAUAUUGCGCUGCACCUGGCUGAACCUCUGUAUGUACUUGUGCAGGGGUUCUCCCUCCUUCUGGACGAGCAGAUGCAGAUCACUCUCCUGGCCAUGGGGUUUGUGGCCGCCUGUGAAGGCGCUGACAAACUGAUGACACAGGUCCGCCCAUGAAGAGAUGGAGCCGUCCGGCAAGUGCAUGAGCCAAGAUCUGACGUUGGGCUUGAGCACCAGCGGGAAGUAGUUGGCGAGGAUCUUCUCGUCUCGCCCCCCGGCAGCCUGCACCGCGAUGGUGUAGACGCCGAGGAACUCCGACGGAUGUAUCCUGCCAUCGUACUUCUUGGGCACGUCUGGCUUGAAGUUCUUGGUAUUGGGCCACUAGACUUGCCGCAGCUCACGGGUGAAUGCAGGGCAACCUGCCGCGUACGGCAAGUCGCCUGGUUCCCCUGGCGCAUGCAUAUCGACAGUGGGCCCAGCGCGCUGGUCAGAUUGACGUCGCGCUUCUCUUCGACGCUCGAUGCGAGUUCGGGCGUCUUCGUGUCGUCGCUCUUGGAUAACUUGGCGUUGAUCGCGGCGGGUUCGCGGGUCCGACGACGCAGUGGAGUCGGCAUCGAGGUUGGCCCGGCGAGUCGGCGAUCUCGGCCUUCGGGGCGGGGAGUGCAUGGUGGUGGCACCCCCAGCGGUUUUGUCGGCGCCGGCUUGUGGCUGGGCGUCUUGCCGGGGCUUCGAUGCGCUCGGUUGCCGGGGCUUGUCGCCGUUGGCGAAGCCGAUGAGGCUAUAAAUGGCCAUCCUCCAGUCGUCAAUCUUAUGUGGCGCCGGAGGGUAAUCUAGAAGCAGCUGGGCUCGGGCCAGCGCUUCCUGUGGAGUCUUGGGUGGCGGCGGCGACGAGCGGCGCGAGGAGCGGGAUGUGCUCGGGCUCCCAACUGGAUUGGAAGGAGCGGUACCCCGCCCGGGCGACCGCACCUCACUCGCGCCAGCAUGCUGGCGUGCACGCUGGUCUUGAACGUCCCGCGAUCCACCAGCUUGGCCUUGCUCCAACGCGAGCACGGUGCUAGGAGCACCAGGGCGUUGUCGACCCUACACCUCCUGGGAAGGGCGUGGUGUCUGUACGGUUGCCGACGCUUGCGGGGCCUUGUUUUUAGACCUAGUGACGACGUGAGUCCCACCGUCGGCGCCAAAGAUGUCGAUGAAGACGUUGAUGUAGCGCGCGCGGAGACCGGAUCAGGUUCGCACGACCUCGACGCCCCCUACCUGGCGCGCCAAAGAUGUCGUGGGCGGCUGUGAGCACGAGCACCUAUGGGGCAAGGAGCCCCUUCUGGUCCGGCAGGGAGCGGAGGGGCGCACGAAGAGCAGAUCGAGGUCGAGCGCGCGGGGGAAACGGGCGAUUUUUACCCAGCUUCAGAGCUCUCCGGAGAGAUAAAACCCCUACUGCUGCUUUGUGUUUGUAUUUGUUCUUCGCUAGAAAGCUUGGGUGUGCUGUGGUCUCGAGUGAGUCGAACUGACCGAACCCAAACGAGCCGAACCCCUUCUACGUGCGCAUGGGCCUCCCUUUUAUAGUCCAAAGGGGGUCACCGACAGGUGGCAGCGUAGAAAGAGGGGUUAAAAAGGUAAAAACGCAGGUAGGUACAACUGCCAUCUACAGUGCCCCCUACCUAACUCUGACGGCAGGGGACAAGAGCAUUUAAUGCCCGUCUGGUCACCCCAACAGUGUAGGAAACGACCGUUAGAGGCGCCACCGAUCACCACGAUGGCCUCCUUGUCACCUUCGCUUGCCACCUCGCACCGCUAGGCUGCACAGCCACCUGCCACGUGCACCGGGAGUGAUCCCGCGGCGACACGUCGUCGGGUGAGCUGGAGCGCAGGCGCAGAAUGGUGGCUUUGCCGCGGCAAGCGCCUUGGCUGGCCUUCCCGGCAAGUUCCUCUUGCCGGGGUCUUGCUCUUCCCGGCAAGCUCCUCUUUCCGGGGCCUUCGUCCUUCCCCGCAAGUUCCUCUUGCCGGGGCCUUCGUCCUUCCCGGCAAGUUCCUCUUGCCGGGGCUUUGUCUUCUCAGCUGACACUUUGUUCUUGAAUGGCGGUGAAUGGGAGUGGCGGAGGAUCUUGGCGGACGCCCGGCAAGCUUUGCCACGGGGCGCUGCGACUGUCCGUGCCCAAGUUCGGGGUACUAAGGUACCCCUACUUUAGUACACCGACAAUCGGCAAAACCGUAAAAUUACGGUACAUAAUAAGGCCAUCAUGCAAUCACGAUGUAAGUUGGGCCUGAAACGUGCCGAACAGCUAACGGGCUGGCAGCAGCCCGAAAUGAACCCCGACCCAUGAUUGUGCAAAUCAAAUCACGGGCUUUUAACAUGCCAAAAUUGUCUCGGUCCUUGUUUGGCCCAAUCAGAUAUCGGCUGCGAGCAGGCCGGAUGCAAACCGGGCCGUAGUUAGCCCAACUAUAUGACAGGCAUUUAACAGGCUGAAAUUAAUAUAGGGCCGAAAUGUUAAACGAGCCCUUAAGAGGCCAAAACUAAUAUCAGGCCAAAUUACUAAGUGGGCCUUUAGCAAUUGGGCCCAAAAGCAUAGUGUCCAGUUGACGGGCCGAAUCUGAUAUGGACCAUAAUUGAGCCCAUAGCCUCUUAAAGGGCCGGACAUGAUCUGGGCCGUAAUUUGGCCCAGAACAUGGUAGGCUUUUAACGGGCCGGAUCUCAUAUGGGCCACUAUUAGGCCCGAAACCUCGUAGGCCAUUAAUGGACCGGAUCAAAUAUGGGCCGGCAUUUGGCCCAAAACAUGGCAGCCAGUUAAUGGGCCGGCCUACUAAGGUCCUCAAAUUCUUGUGGGCCUACAGCUGGGCCGGCCCAUUAAUGUCAGUGAAAUCUCGUGGGCCUUUAGCCGGGCCGGCCCAUUAUGAUCCGCAGGAAUCUUGUGGGCAUUUACCUAGGCCGGCCAAUUAUGACACAAAAAUCUUGUGGGCCUUUACCUGGGCCGGCCCAUUAUGGCCCGCAAAAUCUUGUGGGCCUUUAGCUGGGCCAGCCCAUUAUGGUCUGCAAAAUCUCAUGGGCCUUUAGCUGGGCCGGCCCAUUAUGGUCCGCAAAAUCUUGUGGGCCUUUAGUUGGGCCGGCCCAUUUAAACUCGAUGGGCCGGUCCACGUGUCAACAUAUCAUAGGCGCGUCUCGCCGAUUGGAUGAGUGACACCUGGGCCAGCGCGGACCUGCCAAUGAUGAUUUUACACGUGAAAAAUCCCCAUUGGUCGGGGCUGUUAAAGGGUUAUCGGAUCCAAAGCCCGACCCGAUAGCUUAACGAUGUUCCGUUACGGUGGAUGCCACGUGUUGGUCACCCUUGACGAAAGCACUUCUGUGACGCGUGAUUUAUCAUCAUGGAAGUGGACACUUCCAUGAUGAUAAUUUUGGUAAUGUCAUGGAACACUUCUACGACAACACAGGUAUGACUAUCUUGAUUCUGUCAUAAAUUUGUCAUGGAUGUACAUGCAUGACAAAAAACGCGACCUACUGUGACAAACACGUAUCAUCACGGAAGUGUAUUUUUUUUGUAGUGUAUAUUGUUGAACGAGCCACCGCAAGAUCCCGCUCUUCCUCCAGAGCAUCGAAGUCAUCCUAACUCACCAUCUCAUUAUCAGUCUCCAUGUAAGCCGCCACUCUGGGCGAGUCAUGACGAAUAUCGCUCGGGAGAACUGCUUCAGCAAACCAUGAAGAAAGGUGUAUAACCCGUUGAUCUGUUGGGGGUGGUCUUGAUGCUCCAAAGAACCGAAGGAAGCUCUUCUACCCAACAACCUAGAGUCUAUUUCAAAGGAACCAUCAACCGGCUUUGAUUCCUCUCAAGAUCUCUUGGUUAGCCUGUUCUGCCUGACCAUUGGACUAAGGAUGUGCAACUGAUGAAACAUCAAGCCUGAUGUGCUCUUUCUGACAAAACUCUUUCAUAGCACCUUUAGACAAAUGUGUCCAUUAUUGGUGAUAAUACUGCGAGGAUAACCAAAGCGAAAAAUCAGCUUCUUAACAAUCAGCCUCAUAAUUGCUGACUGGCUCUACCUCAACCCACUUGGUGAACUUAUCAAUAGCAACCAAUAGGUGAGUCGUCUUGCCCUUAGACAUUUUAAACGACCCAACCAUAUCAAGCCCCUAGACUGCAAACAUCGAAGUAAUUGGAAUCAUCCUCGAUUCUCGAGCUGGCACAUGAACUUGUCUUGCGAAUUUCUCGCAACCAUCGCACUUGCGCACUAUGCCCUCUGCAUCAGCAUGAGCCGUCAACCAGUAAAAACCAUGAUGAAAAGCUUUAGCCACCAGAGAUCUUGACCCGACAUGAUGACCACAAUCACCAGCGUGGAUUUCUUGUAAAAUUUCACGGCCCUCCUAAGGAGAAACACAACGUUGAAACACUCCAGUCACACUGCAUCGGUGUAACUCGCCAUUGAGGAUAGUCAUGGACUAAGAACUACGAAAAUCUGACGUGCAAAAAGCUCAUCCUCUGGAAGCUCACCCCGAGUCAAAUAAGCCAAAUAUACACUGUCCAAUCUAGGGUAGCAUGUAGAGCCGCCACCAGCCGUCCCUCCGAGUUAGGGAUAGCCAGGUCUUCUUCUGAAGGUAACUUGACAGAGGGACUAUGCAAAACAUCAAGGAACACAUUGGGAGGAAUUGGCUUACACUGAGAACCUAGUCGUGACAAAGCAUCAGCCACCUCAUUAAGUCGCUGGUCAAUGUGAUCAAAUUGAUAACCUUUGAAGUGUCCAUCAAUGUUAGUCACCUCCUGACGAUAAGCCACAAUGAGUGGGUCCUUAGAAUUCCACGUCCCUAAAACUUGUUGAGCCACCAGGUCUAAGUCGCCUAGGCACAUGACCCGGCUGAAGUUCAUCUCCUUAGCCAUGCAAAGCCCAUGGAGCAAAGCUUCAUACUCAACUACAUUGUUAGUACAGGGAAGCAUAAGCUGCAAAACAUAACAAAACUUUCAUCUCGAGGGGAAGAUAUAACAACUCCAGCCCCUGAGCCUUCCAGUUGCCUAAACCCGUCAAAGUGUAUCAUCUAGUAAGUAUUAUCUGGCUUCUCGUCAGGUGUCUGCAACUCUGUCCAGUCAAUGAUAAAAUUCACCAAAGCUUGAGACUUAAUGGUAGUCUGUGGCACAUAUUUGAGAUUAUGUGGCCCUAACUUGAUUGCCCACUUAGCAACCCAGCCCGUGGCCUCUCUAUUUUGAGUUAUAUCCCCUAGAGGAGCUGAACUGACCAUAGUAAUCAGAUGCUCAAGGAAAUAAUGCUUCAGCUUGUGACUAGCCAUGAACACCCCAAAGACCAACUUCUGCCAUUGUGGAUACCUCUGUUUAGACUCUGUCAGAACCUCGCUGAUGUAAUGAACUGGCCGUUGAACUAGAUAUUCCUUCCCUGCCUCUUUGUGCUCCACCAAAAUUGCAACGCUAACGACCUUGUUAUUAGCCGCCAUGUACAUGAGCAUAGGCUCUUUUUUUGUUGGAACAGCUAAGACAGGCGGCUCAGCCAACUGCUUCUUAAGUGCUUCAAAGGCCUCCUCGGCAGCCUUGCAUCAGACAAAAUUAUCUGUCUUCUUCAUCAUCUGGUACAAAGGGAAUGCCUUCUCUCCCAGGCAGCUUAUAAACCAACUCAGAGCUGCAAUUCGAACCACUAAAUUCUGCACGUCAGUGACACAUGCCGGCUUAGAUGAAGAAGUCACAACCUUAAUAUUCUCCGGGUUAGCUUCAAUGCCCCUCUCUGAGACCAGAAAACCCAACAGCUUUCCUACAUGUACACCAAAAACACACUUUUCUGGGUUAAGCAUCAUUUUGUAAACUUGAAGGUUAUCGAAAGUUUCCUUCAAGUCCUCAAGUGAAGAUUCCCUCUUCCUGGAUUUGAUUACAAUGUCAUCAACAUAAGCAUGAAUGAUGCGUCCAAUCUAUCCAUGAAGGCAAUUCUGAACACAUCGUUGAUAAGUCGCCUGCGCACUCUUAAGCCCAAAGGGCAUAGAGACAUAGCAGAAAGCUCCAAAAGGUAUGAUAAAAGACAUCUUCUCUUGGUCUUGCACUGCCAUUUUGAUCCGAUGAUAACCAGAAUAAGCAUCCAAGAAACAUAAACUCUCACAACCCUCCGUUGCAUCAAUGAUUUGAUCGAUACGGGGGAGAGCAAACGGAUCAGCUGGACAAGCCUUGUUAAGAUCUGUAUAAUCAACACACAUACGCCAAGUGUUGUUCUUCUUGAGUGCAAACACCAGGUUAGCCAACCACUGAGGAUGAAAAACUUCAAUGAUAAAACCAACCGCCAAGAGUCGGACGACUUCUUCUCCAAUAGAUUUCUGCCUCUCCUCGUUAAAACAACGGAGGAACUGUCCAACAUGCUUCAUGUUAGGAUCAAUAUUAAGGUGAUGCUCAACGAAUUAUCUCAGUACACCUGGCAUGUCAGAAGGUUUCCAACCAAUGAUGUCCCAAUUCUCAUGAAUGAACUCGAUGAGCGAGCUUUCCUAUUUGGGAUCCAUCCCAGUCCCAAUUUGGCGGGUUACGACGGUGCCUGGUGCUGCUAGACACGGUCGACGACUCAGCAUGCCGGCUAUAAUUCUGGCUCGGCAGCAGGGUUGAAUGCACACGGUGCCGGCUAUAAGAAUAAUUGGCAUGCUGAGCCAUCAUAGUAUGAAGAAACCCAAUAGUGCUCCUGGUUCCAACGGCAACUAGCGAAUCACCAACAACUGGGAUUGCAGCCAGGCGGGUUGUGUCUACCACCAGGUUAUCCGCCAGUUUAGAAAAGUGACCUGACGGUGUCAAAAAAGGUUGAGCCUGGCCAAGACGAGGGUUUGGGAUCGACUCUUUCCUCCGGGCCGUCUCUGGCGGGUUAGGUUGAACGGCCGCCCCACUCCCCGACGCACCAAACGUCAAUUGGGGUAUAACUGGCACUCCUGGAGUUCCCAUACCUGUCCCAGGUGUGUCAAGAAAACAUGUAGGCUCAUAAUCCGACGGCAUGCGACUCUGAUAUCACCUUUGGUUAAUUGCCUCCGAAGCAUUCUGGUUAAGACUUAGUCACCAAGCCUCUAUCUGUAAACGCUCCCUUUUUGCACUGAUCUGAGCUUGCAGCGUAGCUAUCCGAUUGUUCUCACUGUUAAGAUCCUCCUGGGCCUUGGUCAUCUGAUCUUGUAGCUUUGCUAUUUCCACAUUACGCUUUGGCUAGUUUUCCAUAGUAACCUCAGUCCCCAGCAAGGUCAUCAGGGUAGCAGUUAACUCAGACAGGGCCUGAGCCGGCGGUACUGUUGAGACGGACGAUCCAGGAUCCGCCCCAUAUGUGUCCACAUUGCUUGCUGCUCCCAUGGAUGUUGAGUUUAGAAAUGGUGUUGUGCCUUCCAUGUAAACGACGGCUUGGUGUAGCGGCUCGUAGUGGUCCGGAAUACUGUCACCAUCGGAACAUCCCCCAAGCCUGCCGUUUUCAAGCCGGGAUUGAUUCCAUAUCUCCGGUUGAGGACUCCCCAUCCGAGUAGAUGAGAGUAUCUCCUUCAGACUCUUAAUUUUCUGGACUUUCCACGCCCCGUGUGAAUCCAGCGAAGAUAUGCUUAGGGCGGCUUGAGAUCGGGCGGGUUGCGCGCACCGAGUCGGCUCGACAAGGUUAGUGCAGAUGGUCGGCUCGGGUUCAGACCCGCUGAUCUAGCCGAUGAAGAUUUGAAUUCCGUCGAAGGGGACCCGAUACCCCUACUAGAUUGAAUCAGCCUCGGGGCCCCAGCCAGCGUCAUCGAUGUAAAGCUUGCCGCAGUGGCUCUUACUCAUCCUGCCAACAACAUAUCCCUCGAGCUCUGGGAAAGUGCCCUUCAAGAACCAAAACCACCAUGUUGAGGCUCCUCGGUGGGCGGCAACUGUCGUGGUUUUGUCAUGGCAGAUGUCCUAGGCUUAGGACUUAAGCAUGAGGCAAUCACAAUGGUGAUUAACUUGUCGGGGUUGAGCGGGACGAGAGACAUGAUUUACCCAGGUUCGGCCCCUCAUGGUGGAUGCAAAAGCCUACUCUUGCUUUUCUACUUAUGUCACAUCCCUAGCUUCUGGUAUGCACUGGGCUAGACCUCAUGUGUGCAUCAUGUUUAAAUUCUGAAAAUUUGAACUGAGGGAAUUUUGGAAGCCUCAAAAUUCUUAAUUAAAAGAAGGGCAAGCACCCUUUAAAUUGCAUUCUGUGAAUCCAAAAUGCCCUAAAAAUAGUCUUGUGAAUUUUGGCAAGAGUUAUAUAUCAAACCAAAAUUCUGGAAUAUUUUUAAGGAAUUAUUUGGUCUCUGAAUUUAAAUCAAUAAUCUAUUUGAAUUUGGGGAUAUAUUCAUAAUAUAUAAUGAAUAUAUUUUCAAAUGCUUUGAAAUGUUUUAUGUACUUUUGGAAUAGUCCAGAGAGGUAACAUAAAAUAUUUCAGAAUGUUCUGGCACUGUAUGAAAUUAUUUUGAAUUUGAAAACAGUGGCAAAAUAAAAUAAAAAGGGAAACAGAACAAAAAAAUAAUAAAUAAAAAGAGAGAAGGAACUACCUGGCGCUCACCUGUGCUGGCCCAGCNNNNNNNNNNNNNNNNNNNNNNNNNNNNNNNNNNNNNNNNNNNNNNNNNNNNNNNNNNNNNNNNNNNNNNNNNNNNNNNNNNNNNNNNNNNNNNNNNNNNNNNNNNNNNNNNNNNNNNNNNNNNNNNNNNNNNNNNNNNNNNNNNNNNNNNNNNNNNNNNNNNNNNNNNNNNNNNNNNNNNNNNNNNNNNNNNNNNNNNNNNNNNNNNNNNNNNNNNNNNNNNNNNNNNNNNNNNNNNNNNNNNNNNNNNNNNNNNNNNNNNNNNNNNUAGGCAGAGGCGAGGCGUGGCGCGCGCCCGAAGAGCUCCGGCCACCUCCUGCUUCGCCGUGGCAGCCUCCCCGACCCCCUCGCGACGCCACGGAGACGCCUCGACCCCCUCGACCGCCUCUCUCUUCCCCUGGACCCCGUUCCCUCCUCUGCUUCCCUCCCGCGCACACCACCGAGCGGAACUCGCCGUCAUCGUCGCCGUACCCAUGGCCACCGCCCACCCCUAGCCUCGCCGACGCCCCAGGAAGCUCCGCCGGUCCUCCCUCUGCCUCCCCACCGAUCCACAGCCCUCCGGAAGCCUUGCAUCGCCGCCAUCGCCGUCGUCUUCUACCUCGGACCCGCCGGCCAUCUUCGUCAAAUUCGCCGGCUCCGGACCGUCUCCGACCUCGCCGAGCGUUCCUCGUCAUCUCCGUGAGUCCCUGCUAUGUUUCCCCUCUCUCCCCGUUGGUUUCCCGUGCAGUAGCCAUGCUAGCCACCGUACCGAGCGCCGCCGUCCGCCAUGGACGCCGGGCAUGGCACUGACGUGCUGUUGCGGCCAGUCCGACGGGCCUAGCGUGCUCCUAGCUGCCCCAGGAGUCCGCAUAGCCCCUCAGCCAGCCCCCUAGCGCUCCGUAACCUCGCUCCGGCCAAACCCGAGCUCCGGCAGCCGCCGCGGCCUCCACUCCGGCCACCCCGCGCCUCCCGCAUGCCUCCUUUGGAUGCGCGCAAGCAAGGGCAACCCUCUGGUGCCCUUGGCUUGGCCCAAAACCGCUCGCAGCGCCACUCCGGCGAGCUCCCGCCGCAGUUUUGGUCGUCGCCGGCCGAACUCCGGCGACUGCCGACGUGGCACGCCUAAUUAGCACUAAUGACCCUGUUAAACUAACCCCGUGGCACUGACAGUGGGCCCCGUAGCGGGUCAAAGCCCGGGUCAACGCGGGAUUAGCCCCUGUGUCACUGACGUGUGGACCCCACACGUCAGGUUUGACCUGGACCGCCCGUUGACCUGCUGAGGUCGGCAUGAGGUCAUGCUGACGCCAUAAUUCAUUUUCUGGAAUUAUUUAAUUCUAAAUAUUCAGGAAAUUCCAGAAAAUGCCUAAAACUUCUAAAAUUCAUAGAAAUUCAACCGUAACUCCAAAUUAAAUAAAUUAUAUAUGAAAAAUUAUCAGAAAAAUUCAAGGAAUCCAUCUGUACCAUUUUCAUGCAUGUUAGAACAACUUAUCACUACUGUUUAGGACAAAUGAAGUAAAUGGCAUUUAAAUAAUCACAUAUGGAGUUUGAAUUUGAACCUAGGAUUCAAACCAACUCCAUUUAACUUGUUGCUAGAUGCAUUAGCUCAAAACACCAGCAUGUUGCCAUGUCAUAGCAUGCAUCAUAUUGUGCAUUGCAUUGAUUGUGUUUCCUUCUGUUUGCCGGUGUUGUUCCCCCUCGAUAGACGUUGUAUCGAUGAUGUGAUCGUUGACACUGAUGGAGACUCAAUGUUAUCUUCAGAAGUGCCAGGCAAGCAAAACCCCCUUGCUCAUUCCGAUACAAUCCCACUCUCUCGCUCCUGCUCUCUUUUACUGCAUUAGGACAACAACGACAUAUUUGUUACUUGCUGCGGUAGCUGAACCCCUUUAUCCUUUGCAUGACCUGUCAUUGCCACAGUAAAUAGAUGAAACCCACUAGCAUGAGUAGGAGUUGUUUGAGCCCUGAUGUGCCUACUCAUUCAUGCUUGUUUGUCAUGCCUGCUACUGCUUAGAGUUGAGUCAGGUCUGAUUCAUCGGGGAUGAAUCAGAGGCGUGUGAACAUGUCCUACUGUGUGUGAGCUAAGUGUGUGAACACGAUUUGGUAAAGGUAGCGGUGAGAGGCCAUGUAGGAGUACAUGGUGGGUUGUCUCAUUGCAGCCGUCCUCAGGAACUGAGUUCUGUGUUUGUGAUCCAUGAUUCAGUUACUACCAUACAUUGGGCCCUGAAAUAUGACCCCGCUCGACUUCUUAAUCACCCUAGUCCUCUGUCCAGGAGUUGCAAGUAGUUUCUGGUGUUUGUAGUAUGCUGGAGGCCGUGGACAGUGCUGACCGUAGGGGUGGGCUGUGAUGCGGUAGGCACGUGGCCGGGUAUACCGGGCGCCCGUUUGGUGUCACGGAACCCUGUUCACAUCGUUUGGGGCUGUGAGCGAAACUCCGGCCGGAUCUCCUCAUGGAUGGAACCCGAAUAGGCGAUAAACCUGGACUAGAGACUUGAGUGUUUAGGUAGGUCGUGGUCUACACCCACGUCGGCUUUCGCUUGAAGUCUGCCGAGCACAUGUCGUGUGCAGACGCUAAGUGGUGGAAACAUGUAUGAAGAAGUACACCCCUGCAGGGUUAAUAUGAUCUAUUCGAAUAGCCGUGUCCGCGGAAAAGGACUUCUGGGUUGCUUAUAUCAGUUCAUAGACAAGUGAAAGUGGAUACCCUAAAAUACGCAAGAUAAGCGUGAGUGCUAUGGAUGGCGUUCUCGUAGGGAGACGAGAGCGGAUCCAUAGUGGUGUAUUGAUAUGGUGAAUAUGUGGACUCGUGUGCGCCACCUCAAAAGAGUCGCUUGCAGUCGUAGUUUAGGAUAGCCAUCGAGUCAAAGCUGGCUUGCUGCAGUUAAACCCCACCAUCCCUUUGUUGAUAAUGAUGCAUAUGUAGAUAGUUCUGAUGUAAGUCUUGCUGGGUACAUUUGUACUCACGUUUGCCUAUUUUAUGUUUUUGCAGAGAGACUUUGGUCUCGCUAGUAGUUCCGCGUGGACUUCGACGUUUAGCUUGUUACCUCAGCUACGAUCUUGUGCCCUCGGCAGGAUCUGAUAGAUAGUCAGGCUUCUCAGCCUUUUUCAUUUAUAGAUGUCUGUACCCAGACAUGAUAGCUUCCGCUUGUGCUUUGAUUUGUAUGCUCUGAUUGUUGGGUCAUGAGACCCAUGUUUGUAAUAUCUCGCUCCUUGGAGCCUAUUGAAUAAAUUACUUGAGUCGUAGAGUCAUGUUGUGAUGCCAUGUUGUAUUUGCACAUAUCGAGCAUAUUGUGUGUAUGUUAUUGAAAUGCUUGGUAUGUGUGGGAUCUGACCAUCUAGUUGUUUAUCUUUAGUAGCCUCUCUUACCGGGAAAUGUCUCCUAGUGUUACCGCUGAGCCAUGGUAGCUUGCUACUGCUCUGGAACACUUAGGCUGGCCGGCAUGUGUCCUUCUUCGUUCCUGUGUCUGUCCCUUCGGGGAAAUGUCACGCUUUGAGUACCGGAGUCCUGUUAGCCCGCUACAGCCCGGUUUACCGGAGUCCUGCUAGCCCAGUGCUACAGCCCGGACCCACUUGUUGAUGACCGACACGUUCGAAGCUGGGUCAUGGAUGUCUGUCCCUGUAAGUCUGUGCCACUUUGGGUUUACGACUAGUCAUGUCAGCCCGGGCUCCUUAUCAUAUGGAUGCUAGCGACACUAUCAUAUACGUGAGCCAAAAGGCGCAAACGGUCCCGGGCAAAGGUAAGGCGACACCCGUGGGGAUACCGUGCGUGAGGCCGCAAAGUGAUAUGAGGUGUUACCGGCUAGAUCGAUGUGACAUCGAGUCGGGGUCCUGACAGCGUUGGUAUCAGAGCUUGACUGCCUGUAGGAUUACCAAGCCAAACUGGUCGAAGUUGAGUCUAGAAAUUCUUAGUUAUAUAAGGGAAUUGAUUGUGGGAUGGAACGUAAGGCUCUUUUUACUCCUUAUACCUCAUGGCCUUCUGAUCUGAGUCAUCAUCUUCUCUUCUACGGGGAUUAAGAACUAGGGUUUCUCUUCUUUCUAUCAGGAUCACGUGUUACUAAUCAGUGGACUUAUAAGAUUGUUGGACUUAAGCCUCGUUUCAGCUCCUAGUACUUCUGUAUGUUAACUGUUGAUCUCGAGACCUUGAUAUUGUGCCUCUGAGUGGCUAUGCCACCAUUUUUGUAGCAUGUCUCCAAUCUUUUGAGCAUUACAGCCGUUAUGCUGUCCGAGUCAUCCCAGGUCUCUAAACAGUCUGAUGCAUUUGCAAAUCCUUUCCUUCCGUCUCCGAUGUCCCUUUUGGUCGGAAUAAGCACACUAAUCGGUAGGUUGAGGUACUUUGUUACCUCGGCGUAGAUGUUGGAGCUGUUAUUAUGACCUUAGGUGUUUAGGAAGUCACCUAGCAAUUUAGCAAUGCUUUUGUAUCCCCAGUGCGAUGAUUCUGGCCAUUAUUUUGAAAGCAUCCCGUGAUGUUGUUAGUUAGUAGGCAUUCUAUUUCUGGGUUUUGAACCCGAGAUUCACUCUACCUACUUCAUGUUGAUAGUAAUUGCUAGUGCCCUUAGGAUAUUAGUAACCUUUGCGAUAGUCCUUGAAGUCCGUGGUAUCUUCUUCUUCCAAAUACCAUGAACUACUUAUGGCAGAAGUUCCUCGUUGAACUGAAAUAUCACAACAGGAUUAUUCUUGAGGAGUUCUCCAUUCAUAAAUCGUGACUCUGCCAGUUCUACCCUUCUGCAUGGGUUAUCCGGAAGAAAUAUGUUGAACUUGGUUCGACAUACUAAUCUAUGCAUCCACAACUCAGAAAAUUAUAUGUUCCUUUGAGUUGUUCUCUUUAGUUACAUUCUGACCCUCGUCUAUCAAUUGAUAGUCAAGAGUAUGUGUGCGUUCGUUUAUCGAUGCCUAUUACUCUUGUGGUCCGUCAAGCCAUUCUAUCGCAGAAUGACUAGGAGAAACAAACUCCAGUACCUCUUCCAUAUCCAGGAUUGGGUCAAAGAAGUUGUGCUCCGCAGAUCAAAUUGCUAAUCCAGCUUUUGUUCUGUUCUACCUUGGAGUAUUACCAUCUUUAUAUCGGGAUUGUUAUAGGAAUUGCACACCAUCCUAUGAACUCUUGGUACAGUGAUACUUUUUGCCAUCAUUAGUCAUUCCUCGGUCUUCUUGUUAAUGCAACCGGAAUACCGACAAAUUAAUUGUGAUGUGUGAAACCAAUACGCCUAGCAACCUCGUUGCUGGGUAGUUAAAGGACAAUAAUUUCAUUCUUAGUGUGUUGGUUAUUGAAUCAUCAUUCUAAGAUUGAUCGUGCUACCUAGUCCAUUCUCCUGGUUCACUCCUCGACCAAUGAGUUAGGAAUUAUUUCAAGUCCUCACUCAUUUGAUCAUAUCGUCUUGCCCUCAAAAGCGAGAUUGUUCUCGAGCUUAGUAACAUACCGGUGGUUCGUGAUUUUUCGAAUAUCUUCUCGAAAGUAUUACCAGGUUGUCACCUGACCGUUAUGUUGAGCUCGUGAUCAAGUUGGUUUCUUGUGAACCACCCUUUCUCCAAGAAUCGGUGUUAGAUAUCCCUGAGCUAGUUGGUUAAGCUAGACAACAACUUGGAGAGUUGGAAGAUAAAAGCUUGCCUGACUUAGUUCGUUCCAAAGGGAUAUUCUUGUGUAGUGUGUGUUGAAGAAAGAUGAUAUCUUCAUCGAUUGGUCCUUGUGAUCAGUUGCUGGACCUAUUGUCUUAUGAAUCCUUUGAUUUGAGUGUGGGCUAUCGUCAAAUCAAAUCAGUACCAACGAUGCUCGUAAUGUUGUCUUAUUCGUGGUUGAUCCCUCGAGCAUACACCAUUACAUCUUUGGUCUGACCAAUGCUAUCACCGUGUUCACUUAACUAUGGAAUACCUUUUAAAAGGAAACCUAGAUGAAUUGUUGUUGAGCCCAUUGGCAACAUCCUUAUCUCCUUCAUGAUGUUGUUGAACAUUAAGCUAGUGUUGGAAACUUUUGAAAGCAUUUGUUCAUGCUAGCUCAUGAAGCAUAUGUUUGGAUAAAGGUAGUGACUUCCUUUAAUUCAUGUGCAUCCGAUGCAAGUUGCCGCCGUGGAUUCGAGAAAGUCAAUGUUGCUUUCUUUGGAAUCAUUCCAAAUCAGUCAUGCACACGUGCGAAGAAUGCUGUGGUUUGAAGACUUGCAACCUUCAAUCUAUAUGUAUCCCUAGCACACCAAGCCACUGAUUGAUUUGUUCAAGGAGAAGGAGUUUCUUCAUAAGAGCUAAUCCGGACUUAUGUAAGGACUUCGAUACCCUCGUUGAUGGUUCCACCUCCUGAACUCGGUAGUGUUUUAUUAUAAGACUACUAUGUGGUCAUGCUUGUCUAGGACAGCGUGUUCACAUGUGUGUAGCAGAACCAGCUCAUGUUUUGGAGCUUGCUAUCGUAGUUCAUCUCCCGAGAAUCCCGCAACGUCAUCUCGUCGAUUUGUGUUGCAAACUUUCAUUUUUCUUCCUAGACUCGAUGAGUCUGGAAUAUCCUGACACCAACCAGAUCUGAAUCUCAGGCAGAUAUGAAGGUUUGGAACAUUUUCCAAGAACUAUAAUAUCGAUCCCUUGGAAACCGGUAAAGUGGAUGUCGUGGCCAACACACCCAGCCGGAAGACCGGUUAUUAUAAUAUCUUGAUUGAGGAAGUUGGCCACCUCCCCAUAAGGAUUUCGUAGGAUUUACCUCCCUAGUUGUUCCUUAUGGAUUCUAUUGCUCCCGAAGUCCGACCAUUUACUUGAUGUUCUAGUUAUCAAACCAUAUCUAUGAAUGGAAUACACUAGCACAUCAAGGAGAACAUUAGAAGCGGAGUGCGAAAUGUCUCUCGGUCGAUCAUCCAGAUUUUAUUUCCUUGGCCUCGCUAAAGUGAAAUCUGAGAAAGUGUUAUCUUUCUUUGCAUCUGCAUCAUCCAUCAUCAUUCAUCAUGGUAGCAAGUUGUGUUGCCAGGAUCCUUGACACGGAUAUUGGUAAAACCUUGAUGAAUGUGGAAAUGCUCAAGUUCUUGAGAGCACGCGCAAGUGCUAGGUUUGAUCGUCGGCAUUAACUGUAUAGCGCUCUCAGUUUCCUCGGUUAUGCUAUAACCAUUCCAAUAGUGGGAUCACUCUCUAUUGUUGGGUUCUUCCCCAGUUACCAGAAUCAUUCCCAGCAUUUGCAUUUUGUUCCCAGCUUGCACCGCCAAUGUGCCAUUCUACCAUGGGUCUCUUCCAUUUCCGGUGAUAAGAAAAUUCAUCCAUUGCGUUGUCUUCAACAAGGUAGUCCACAUCAUCCAAGUCCGAGUAUGCCAUUCUACCGACCCCCUCCAAACGAUCGCUCGAGAAUUGUCUUAGGCUGGUUUAAAGAGUUUCAAUGAUCUUUGAAUCAAAGGUAAUUCUUUUUGCCACUUAAGGGGAUAUUUCUACGAGUCACCUUCCCUAAGGUGCAUCAUUAUGGUAUCAUGGCAACUCAACUUCUCGCUACGUAACAAUCGUUUACCACAUUCUUGAGUCUGGAAUUGUUGUCUACCUAGUGAACCUUUGUCAUCUGCUUCACUCAAAUUCCUAUGGAUGUGUACUUCGUCUCUCAGCUCGAGAGAUGUUGUUAUGUCUCAUUCCGUGGGUUAAUCCUGAGUUGUUCGACCUUCGAGAAGAACAAUUCUUUUAGGGUCUCUCCUUUCCUCUCGUUGUCAUGAUAGUUGGAGUUCUCAAGGCAAGACUUCAAGACAAAGAUGGUGUUCGAAUCAAUGUUCCUAUGAAGUGCACCCUGGAUCGUGAAGAUUGUACUAGUUGCGUUCCCCCUUCACCUUACCCUACGCUUGAAUAUCGAGACGAGAUUCUUGUUUAGUGGGGGUGAGUUGUCACAUCCCUAGCUUCUGGUAUGCACUGGGCUAGACCUCAUGUGUGCAUCAUGUUUAAAUUCUAAAAAUUUGAACCGAGGGAAUUUUGGAAGCCUCAAAAUUCUUAAUUAAAAGAAGGGCAAGCACCCUUUAAAUUGCAUUCUGUGAAUCCAAAAUGCCCUAAAAAUAGUCUUGUGAAUUUUGGCAAGAGUUAUAUAUCAAACCAAAAUUCUGGAAUAUUUUUAAGGAAUUAUUUGGUCUCUGAAUUUAAAUCAAUAAUCUAUUUGAAUUUGGGGAUAUAUUCAUAAUAUAUAAUGAAUAUAUUUUCAAAUGCUUUGAAAUGUUUUAUGUACUUUUGGAAUAGUCCAGAGAGGUAACAUAAAAUAUUUCAGAAUGUUCUGGCACUGUAUGAAAUUAUUUUGAAUUUGAAAACAGUGGCAAAAUAAAAUAAAAAGGGAAACAGAACAAAAAAAUAAUAAAUAAAAAGAGAGAAGGAACUACCUGGCGCUCACCUGUGCUGGCCCAGCNNNNNNNNNNNNNNNNNNNNNNNNNNNNNNNNNNNNNNNNNNNNNNNNNNNNNNNNNNNNNNNNNNNNNNNNNNNNNNNNNNNNNNNNNNNNNNNNNNNNNNNNNNNNNNNNNNNNNNNNNNNNNNNNNNNNNNNNNNNNNNNNNNNNNNNNNNNNNNNNNNNNNNNNNNNNNNNNNNNNNNNNNNNNNNNNNNNNNNNNNNNNNNNNNNNNNNNNNNNNNNNNNNNNNNNNNNNNNNNNNNNNNNNNNNNNNNNNNNNNNNNNNNNNNNNNNNNNNNNNNNNNNNNNNNNNNNNNNNNNNNNNNNNNNNNNNNNNNNNNNNNNNNNNNNNNNNNNNNNNNNNNNNNNNNNNNNNNNNNNNNNNNNNNNNNNNNNNNNNNNNNNNNNNNNNNNNNNNNNNNNNNNNNNNNNNNNNNNNNNNNNNNNNNNNNNNNNNNNNNNNNNNNNNNNNNNNNNNNNNNNNNNNNNNNNNNNNNNNNNNNNNNNNNNNNNNNNNNNNNNNNNNNNNNNNNNNNNNNNNNNNNNNNNNNNNNNNNNNNNNNNNNNNNNNNNNNNNNNNNNNNNNNNNNNNNNNNUAGGCAGAGGCGAGGCGUGGCGCGCGCCCGAAGAGCUCCGGCCACCUCCUGCUUCGCCGUGGCAGCCUCCCCGACCCCCUCGCGACGCCACGGAGACGCCUCGACCCCCUCGACCGCCUCUCUCUUCCCCUGGACCCCGUUCCCUCCUCUGCUUCCCUCCCGCGCACACCACCGAGCGGAACUCGCCGUCAUCGUCGCCGUACCCAUGGCCACCGCCCACCCCUAGCCUCGCCGACGCCCCAGGAAGCUCCGCCGGUCCUCCCUCUGCCUCCCCACCGAUCCACAGCCCUCCGGAAGCCUUGCAUCGCCGCCAUCGCCGUCGUCUUCUACCUCGGACCCGCCGGCCAUCUUCGUCAAAUUCGCAGGCUCCGGACCGUCUCCGACCUCGCCGAGCGUUCCUCGUCAUCUCCGUGAGUCCCUGCUACGUUUCCCCUCUCUCCCCGUUGGUUUCCCGUGCAGUAGCCAUGCUAGCCACCGUACCGAGCGCCGCCGUCCGCCAUGGACGCCGGGCAUGGCACUGACGUGCUGUUGCGGCCAGUCCGACGGGCCUAGCGUGCUCCUAGCUGCCCCAGGAGUCCGCAUAGCCCCUCAGCCAGCCCCCUAGCGCUCCGUAACCUCGCUCCGGCCAAACCCGAGCUCCGGCAGCCGCCGCGGCCUCCACUCCGGCGAGCUCCGGCCACCCCGCGCCUCCCGCAUGCCUCCUUUGGAUGCGCGCAAGCAAGGGCAACCCUCUGGUGCCCUUGGCUUGGCCCAAAACCGCUCGCAGCGCCACUCCGGCGAGCUCCCGCCGCAGUUUUGGUCGUCGCCGGCCGAACUCCGGCGACUGCCGACGUGGCACGCCUAAUUAGCACUAAUGACCCUGUUAAACUAACCCCGUGGCACUGACAGUGGGCCCCGUAGCGGGUCAAAGCCCGGGUCAACGCGGGAUUAGCCCCUGUGUCACUGACGUGUGGACCCCACACGUCAGGUUUGACCUGGACCGCCCGUUGACCUGCUGAGGUCGGCAUGAGGUCAUGCUGACGCCAUAAUUCAUUUUCUGGAAUUAUUUAAUUCUAAAUAUUCAGGAAAUUCCAGAAAAUGCCUAAAACUUCUAAAAUUCAUAGAAAUUCAACCGUAACUCCAAAUUAAAUAAAUUAUAUAUGAAAAAUUAUCAGAAAAAUUCAAGGAAUCCAUCUGUACCAUUUUCAUGCAUGUUAGAACAACUUAUCACUACUGUUUAGGACAAAUGAAGUAAAUGGCAUUUAAAUAAUCACAUAUGGAGUUUGAAUUUGAACCUAGGAUUCAAACCAACUCCAUUUAACUUGUUGCUAGAUGCAUUAGCUCAAAACACCAGCAUGUUGCCAUGUCAUAGCAUGCAUCAUAUUGUGCAUUGCAUUGAUUGUGUUUCCUUCUGUUUGCCGGUGUUGUUCCCCCUCGAUAGACGUUGUAUCGAUGAUGUGAUCGUUGACACUGAUGGAGACUCAAUGUUAUCUUCAGAAGUGCCAGGCAAGCAAAACCCCCUUGCUCAUUCCGAUACAAUCCCACUCUCUCGCUCCUGCUCUCUUUUACUGCAUUAGGACAACAACGACAUAUUUGUUACUUGCUGCGGUAGCUGAACCCCUUUAUCCUUUGCAUGACCUGUCAUUGCCACAGUAAAUAGAUGAAACCCACUAGCAUGAGUAGGAGUUGUUUGAGCCCUGAUGUGCCUACUCAUUCAUGCUUGUUUGUCAUGCCUGCUACUGCUUAGAGUUGAGUCAGGUCUGAUUCAUCGGGGAUGAAUCAGAGGCGUGUGAACAUGUCCUACUGUGUGUGAGCUAAGUGUGUGAACACGAUUUGGUAAAGGUAGCGGUGAGAGGCCAUGUAGGAGUACAUGGUGGGUUGUCUCAUUGCAGCCGUCCUCAGGAACUGAGUUCUGUGUUUGUGAUCCAUGAUUCAGUUACUACCAUACAUUGGGCCCUGAAAUAUGACCCCGCUCGACUUCUUAAUCACCCUAGUCCUCUGUCCAGGAGUUGCAAGUAGUUUCUGGUGUUUGUAGUAUGCUGGAGGCCGUGGACAGUGCUGACCGUAGGGGUGGGCUGUGAUGCGGUAGGCACGUGGCCGGGUAUACCGGGCGCCCGUUUGGUGUCACGGAACCCUGUUCACAUCGUUUGGGGCUGUGAGCGAAACUCCGGCCGGAUCUCCUCAUGGAUGGAACCCGAAUAGGCGAUAAACCUGGACUAGAGACUUGAGUGUUUAGGUAGGUCGUGGUCUACACCCACGUCGGCUUUCGCUUGAAGUCUGCCGAGCACAUGUCGUGUGCAGACGCUAAGUGGUGGAAACAUGUAUGAAGAAGUACACCCCUGCAGGGUUAAUAUGAUCUAUUCGAAUAGCCGUGUCCGCGGAAAAGGACUUCUGGGUUGCUUAUAUCAGUUCAUAGACAAGUGAAAGUGGAUACCCUAAAAUACGCAAGAUAAGCGUGAGUGCUAUGGAUGGCGUUCUCGUAGGGAGACGAGAGCGGAUCCAUAGUGGUGUAUUGAUAUGGUGAAUAUGUGGACUCGUGUGCGCCACCUCAAAAGAGUCGCUUGCAGUCGUAGUUUAGGAUAGCCAUCGAGUCAAAGCUGGCUUGCUGCAGUUAAACCCCACCAUCCCUUUGUUGAUAAUGAUGCAUAUGUAGAUAGUUCUGAUGUAAGUCUUGCUGGGUACAUUUGUACUCACGUUUGCCUAUUUUAUGUUUUUGCAGAGAGACUUUGGUCUCGCUAGUAGUUCCGCGUGGACUUCGACGUUUAGCUUGUUACCUCAGCUACGAUCUUGUGCCCUCGGCAGGAUCUGAUAGAUAGUCAGGCUUCUCAGCCUUUUUCAUUUAUAGAUGUCUGUACCCAGACAUGAUAGCUUCCGCUUGUGCUUUGAUUUGUAUGCUCUGAUUGUUGGGUCAUGAGACCCAUGUUUGUAAUAUCUCGCUCCUUGGAGCCUAUUGAAUAAAUUACUUGAGUCGUAGAGUCAUGUUGUGAUGCCAUGUUGUAUUUGCACAUAUCGAGCAUAUUGUGUGUAUGUUAUUGAAAUGCUUGGUAUGUGUGGGAUCUGACCAUCUAGUUGUUUAUCUUUAGUAGCCUCUCUUACCGGGAAAUGUCUCCUAGUGUUACCGCUGAGCCAUGGUAGCUUGCUACUGCUCUGGAACACUUAGGCUGGCCGGCAUGUGUCCUUCUUCGUUCCUGUGUCUGUCCCUUCGGGGAAAUGUCACGCUUUGAGUACCAGAGUCCUGUUAGCCCGCUACAGCCCGGUUUACCGGAGUCCUGCUAGCCCAGUGCUACAGCCCGGACCCACUUGCUGAUGACCGACACGUUCGAAGCUGGGUGAUGGAUGUCUGUCCCUGUAAGUCUGUGCCACUUUGGGUUUACGACUAGUCAUGUCAGCCCGGGCUCCUUAUCAUAUGGAUGCUAGCGACACUAUCAUAUACGUGAGCCAAAAGGCGCAAACGGUCCCAGGCAAAGGUAAGGCGACACCCGUGGGGAUACCGUGUGUGAGGCCGCAAAGUGAUAUGAGGUGUUACCGGCUAGAUCGAUGUGACAUCGAGUCGGGGUCCUGACAACUUAUUGCUCGAGUAUCGAUUACAAGCGAGCGAAAUCUCUAGACCUAGUACCUAAUUGAUUGUAACCUGAUCUAUCUGCCUCAGGGGCUCGCCUUUACAUAUAGGUGGUGGCCUUGGGCUUACAAGAGUCCGGGUUUGUAUUAGACUCGUGACUGAAUACAUCUCUAACUCGCCCAGGAAAGGAAACCUAAGGCAGUUCAUAUUCCUGGCUCAUGAGUCUCCGUCUUCAAACUGGGGUUAUAUCCCCAACAAUCACCAUCGACAAUUGGGUCCAGGACUAGUGCGGCCGAUCCAGAGUGCCUGAUGCUGGUAAAAAUGGUCGUGUUUAUCGAAAGUGAUCGUAUGAGCCGACCAUGGGUUGGACUUCAGGGUAACUGGCUCUAGCGCAUAGACGUCCUGGAGCGCUCGUUUCCUCUCCCUUUUAGGUAUGUGGGUGUUGUAGAUCAUGUUGACCUCAGUCACCUCAUUAGGAAAGUUCUUCUGGCCUCCAUUAUUAGGCCCCCAAGGUUCAUCCUCUUCGUCUUUGCGGCGUUGGGGUUUAUCCAGCCCCUCGGUCCUAAUUUUGCUUGCUUGGUUGAAGACCCAACAAUUCGUAUUGGUGUGCAUUGCAGGCUUGGCUGAUGUGACACGGAUUUGGCACGGCCUGUCAAGGAUUUUGUCCAACUGGAUGGGUCUAUUCUUGUUCCCUUUAAAGGCCUUGCCUUCUACCCCGAUCUAGGUCCGGUGAACCCUGCGUUGACUGCGGCAUCCUCUAUGUUGCAGCCGCCCGUUCUUAUGCUUGUGUUUGUUUUUGUUACGCCGAGGCUUCCCGUUGGCGUCGCGCAUAUCCGAGGUGCACGCCUCAUCAUUAUGGUUGUUAUGGGCUAGCCAGCUAUCUUCUCCGGCGCAAAAGCGGGUCAUAAGAGCGGUGAGGUUAGCCAUAGUUCUCGGCCUGCCUUGGCUGAGCUGGUGGGUCAGCCAAUCGUUGCGUUUGUUGUUUCUGAAUGCUGCAAUUUCCUUGGUGCCAAAACAAUCGAUGAUCCGGUUCUUCUUAGUAAGGAACCAUUCCAGAAUUUCCGACCUGACUCACCAGACUAUUGAAUAACGCGGCUGAGGUCAUCGACAUCCGUGGCCGGACAUAAGUGCCCUGAAAUUUUGCUCUAAAGGCGUCCUCAAGGGCUCCCCAACUUCCAAUAGAUUAAGGGGGAGGCUAUUCAGCCAAUGCCUUGCCGGCCCCUUUAGCUUGAGCGGCAAGUACUUGAUGGUGUGGAGGUCGUCUCCAUUUGCCAUGUGGAUGUGAAGUAGGAAGUCUUCAAUCCAUGCUGAUGGGUCCAUCGUUCCAUCAUAAGAUUGUAUAUUGAUGGGUUUAAACCCUUCUAGGGACUGAUGUUCCAUUACCCUGUCUGUAAAACAGAUCGGGUGGGCUGGACUUCGGGACCGAACAGUACCACGUAGGGGCUCAGGGGAGAGCCUUGUGUAUGUAUGAAUCCAGGCGCGGCCGUUCCUGUCUAGCCAGGCUUCGUAAUCGUCCAUCCUAGCUAGCACGCAUUCUCGUGUCCCAUAGAUGGGCCAAGGAGGCGCUCGGUUUGCCUCAAUGUGGCAUCUAGCAUCAUGCAGAUCUAGGUAGUCCACGGAGUCCCUGCCAUCAUGAUGAGGGGGUGGUCAGGUAUUUGUAUUGUCCCGUACCAGUGUGUCUCGACCUCUAGGGGGUCAAUCCGAUGUCUUUGUGGACACUUAAUCUCCGAACUCCAGCAGUAAACAUCGGCGAGGGUAUGAUUUAUGUGCACUGUGACGUCGGUUUUUGAGAUCUUGCUCGGCCGAAAGGACUUUGACCCACUUCUCGUUCUGUGCAUCAGCAUUAGCUUGCAGCUUUUGCUGCUUGCGCUUCAUACUACGGGCGGUGGCAAGAAGGCACCGCCGGAAGUGUUCCUAUUCGAAAGGGUCCUCGAGGACGAUGCUGAGGCUCUCAUUCUCUUCGGACUUUGGCAUGUAGUUGUCUCCGGCUCCCUCAAAGAGGUCAUCGGGAUCAGGGUUCUCGGGAUUAUCCUCAUGCCCGUUGUUUCGUGCUGGGGAGGCUUGAAAGUCCCCACGAAGGUUAUUGUUAUUGCCAGUUGCUGCGUCACCGUUUUCGGCAGAGGCAUUAUUGCCGCUGGGCUCUUCGUUGGCACCCCUUCUAUGCUUAGGCCCACAUCAUGGGAGGGGCGUUGCGGCUAUCGACCAUGUAUAUGUCAUAAAUAGACGUUGUGGUCCACUUGCCAGUCUUUACUAGUGGCGAAGUGUUGUCCGCGGGGCCAUCCGAAUUUUCCAUAUCCGAGGCCUCGCCGUAGUCAAGCAUGUCGGUAAUGUCAUUGAUAGUUGCGACUAGGUGGGUGGUGGGUGGGAUGUAAAUUUCCCUAUCAUCGGCUUUAAAGCCGAUCUUGUCAUAGACCAAGGUCUUGUCAUCUGAGAUGGAUAUGCGCUGGAUCCAAUCGAGCAUGUCGUUUAGGUGUGAUAGAUCUUCGGAAUCCAUAGCCUAGCCGUACACAACAUUGAUCUAAAGGAUGUCUGGUAUAUAGCUUGGCGAUUCUAUGAUAUAUAUGGAGGGGAUCCGAGGCUGACUCUGGAUCCCGUGCGAGGGUCGGCUCUAGAUACGACGUAGUAGCACAAACAAGGGUCGUACCAAAGUCCAGAACAAGAGUUGGGGUGAGAUCGCCCGAGGUCAUUUGCGUUGGGAUCCUUGGCCGCCAAUGGCGCCGAGGAGUCUGAUCUGAUGUCUUCAGGCCGGUGUUGGAAUCAGGGCUCCGGGGACCCAAGGAAGGUUCGAACUCUAGGUUUGCUCGAAGAACUCCACUAGGCUCUUUCUCCUACCCACUGCCUCACGGUGACGCUCCGGCGUACUCGAGCAUAAAGGAAGAACAUGAACAUCACGAUUUACCCAGGUUCGGGCCACCUUGUAGUGUAAGACCCUACUCCUGCUUGGUUUGGAUUGCCUCGCGAGGGAGGAUGAGUAUGAGAGUACAAGGAUGAACUGUCUCAGGAGGCCUCAAGACUCGACCUCGGGGAUCCCAGGGUUCGAUCUCCUCUACGGUGAGGGAUAGCCUAUCCUUGGUCCUCUUCCCCCGAAAACUCUAGGUGGGAAGGGAUACCAUAACCACCAAUUUUGAAGGGGGACAGGAGUACAACUUAUCCUAACAAAAGAUGGCUUCACCUGCAAAAGUUUUAGUCCAUGAUGUGCAGGUGGGCUUGAUGAUGACCUUCAUCCAGACGAGGCCACUGUCCUAGUCUUCUUGCACCAGAAUGGCAACCUUUGGGGAUUGUUUCGGGAACCCACGCGCUGUCGUUGUUCCAUUAGCACUAAGAAGAAAGUGUCCUUAUCCGUGCCCGCUGGCGGCCUUCUGGCUCCGCUCGUCGUGGCUCGUUUCACCCACGUGCAUCGCGAGGCGGGGUGGCGAGCCUAGAGAUAUCCGCCCCAUGAGGGGCCUCAGGAGGCAGCCUCGGGAGACCGCCCCGCAUGAUGCCCUCUAGAGCUCUUGAUGACCCUUGCUAAUGCUCGCCUCAUGGGGCGGGGGCCUUCGUGAGGGUCUUGAUCAUGAAGUCUUGAAGCCGGGCCACACUAGGCCUUAUGAUGACGCCACACGAUGGGCUGCAAGCAGAUGGCCCUGGGUACCCCCAGUCCCAAGGGCCCAACAGUAGCCCUCGGGCCUGCAGUGCGCAUGACUCCACUUGCGGUGAAGGGAAAGAGAGGGGCAGAAGCAACAUGGGCCCCAACCUCCUGCGGGCCAGGCUUGACGCCUGGCAUGCGCAAGGGCACGGGACGCCCCCACUUCCCCAUAAUACCUCGGCAACUACCCUGGCUGACAUAAAGCCUGGUAGAUGCCACGGGGCCAUCAUUGCUUCCUUCUCCUGCUUGCACCCCUCUUGCCGUGCCCCCCUUUCUCUCGCGUGAGGUUCGUCCAGAUCCAAUCUCAGGCGUGGCUCCUUCCUCAUCUCGCUCGCAGCCGCUACUUCCGAUAACGUCGGGCAGCAAGAAAGCAAAGUCUACAGCUCUCACGCAAGCUCAUCUUCCAUGGGGCCGGUGAUCUGGCCCCCCUCAAUCGUCAAGGACGAGGACCUAGGCCUGGUGCUCCCACUGAUAGCCGACGAGGGAAACAAAGGGUGGGAAACCAAGAUCUGGCCAGGCUCUCAUGCGUGGAGUGACCUGGCGUACUCCGUGUACCCCUUCUUCCUCCACAACAUCUAUGCCGGGUUGGUCCCACUGAUACGUCCAUUUUGCAUCAUGUUUUCUUACAGUUAUUUACAAUGUUUUUAUGCUUAAUAGUGCUUUCUGGAGUAAUCUAAUGCCUUUUCUCUCAUAAGGCAAGGUUAACACAAAGAGGGAGACUAUCGGCGGCUGGAAUUCUGGACCUGAAAAAGCUAUGUCAGAUAUACCUAUUAUGCACAUCUCCAAAUGAGCGAGAAAUUUACGGAGAUUUAUUUUGGAAAAUAUAAAAAAUACUGGAGCAAAUAACUACGGGAGUGGGGCCACCUGGUGACCGCAAGACACCAAGGAACGCCAGGCCCCCCAGGCGCGCUAUGGGGGGUUGUGGCCAGCCCAGCCCACCUCCGGUGCCCAUCUUCUGGUACUUAAGGUCUUCUUACUUAGAAAAAAUAAGGAGAGGACUUUCGAGAUGGAGCGUCGCCAUCUCGAGGUGGAACUUGGGCAGGAACACUUUUGCCCUCCGGCGGAGCAAUUCCGCUGGCGGAACUUCCCUCCCGAAGGGGGAAUCGAAGCCAUCGUCAUCACCAACAAACCUCUCAUCUUUGGGAGUCCAAUAUUCAUCAACAUCUUCAACAAAACCAUCUCCUCUCAAAUCCAAGUUCAUUCUUGUGUUCAAUCUUUGUACCAGAACCUCAGAUUGGUACCUGUGGGUUACUAGUAGUGUCGGUAACAAACCCUAGGUCCAUUGCCUAGACUAUGCACAGGCUCAAGAGACAAGAUUACAACACCAAGAUCAGAGCAAGCACGAAGGGAUCAGCUCUUUGGGGAAUCAGGGGGCUGGUCGAAGCAGAAAAGGAAGGCCAAGUUGAUACCGAGGGGCAAGAUAUUGCUAAGGAAAGAGCCUCCCUUGCCGGGCAGGCGAGCCCGACAAGGUUGGGUUUUGCCCCGGAAGUAAAUCUCCAAACCGUCCUGACAGGCUUGCCGGGGCUUGCGGAGGCGAGCCACGCCACCGCUCCACCUCACAAGCAGCGCAAGUCAUCAAUCAGUGCGGAGUCAAGCCCCAAAGUGACUAACUGGCUGCUUUGAGCCACAUGGCAGCCACUUUCUAUAGGAAAGACCUCCAUAUGCACUACAAAACAAAUACACUUCCGUGAUAAUACGUGUUUGUCACAGUAGGUCGCGUUUUUGUCAUGCAUGUACAACCAUGAAGAUUUUAUGACAGAAUCAAGAUAGUCAUACCUGUACUGUCAUAGAAGUGUUCCAUGACAUUAUGAAAAUUAUCAUCACGGAAGUGUCCACUUCUAUGACGAUAAAUCGCACGUCACAGAAGUGCUUUCGUCAAGGGUGACCGACACGUGGCAUCCACCGUAACGGAACACCGUUAAGCUAUCGGGUCGGAUUUUGGAUCCAAUAACCCGUUAACAGCCCCGACCAAUGGGGAUUUUCCACGUGUAAAAUCAUCAUUGGCUGGAGGAAACACGUGUCGGCUCAUCAUUUGGACAGAUGUCAUCCACUCAUUGGACGGAAGGCGCCUAUGAUACGUCGACACGUGGCACGGCCCAACAGAGGCCCAUUCCUGUGAAAAGGUCGGCCCGUUUGACUUGGUCAAAAGGUGGCGGGCCGGCCCAUGGAAAGCCCGUUAACGUCCUGUUCGCAUAUAGCCCAUUUACAGCCCGCUAAACCAAGGCCCGUUACACCCUAUCCGAACUAGGCCCAAUAGCGUCAUUUAGGCCAUCCAAUAUGAUUCCAGCCCAUUUUCACUUCUGGCGCAUGUAUGGCCCAUGACGUCUUUCAGACCAUAUGAGGCCCUAUGUAGCUCUUGGCCUAUUAACGGCCCCUGGUGAAACUGGCCCGUAAUGAAUAGUGUAUCACCUUACACCCAUUAACGCCCCAUGGUGAAACUGGCCCGUAAUGAACAGUGUAUCACUUUAUACCCUUUAACGGCCCGUUAUUCCGUUGGGCCGUUUCCAGCCCAUGUUAUCUUUCGGCCUUCUCAGAGCCUUUAUUCUUGGGCUCAUUUCCUGCAUUCAUUUACUUAUGUCCCGUUACCGUCAUUUUCUGCUUGUGGGCCAAAUUCAGCCCGUGGUUACAGUCGGCCCGUUUGUGGUCUGUUAAUACAUUGGGCCGUUUUCAUAGCGUCAUCAAAUACGGCCAAUUAACGACGGCACUUUAUGGUCGGCCCAUGAACGGACGAUUCCAACUCUAGCCCGUUUACGGCCAUAAUGCGGUCUGUUUGGCCCAUUGAGGGAGUCCUGGACUAGGGGGUGUCCGAAUAGCCGAACUAUCAUCAUUGGUCGGACUCCAAGACUAUGAAGAUACAAGAUUGAAGACUUCGUCCCGUGUCCAGAUGGGACUUUCCUUGGCGUGGAAGGCAAGCUUGGCAAUACGGAUAUGUAGAUCUCCUACCAUUGUGACCGACUCUGUGUAACCCUAGCCCUCUCCGGUGUCUAUAUAAACCAGAGGGUUUUAGUCCAUAGGACGAACAACAAUCAUACCAUAGGCUAGCUUCUAGGGUUUAGCUUCCUUGAUCUUGUGGUAGAUUUACUCUUGUACUACCCAUAUCAUCAAUAUCAAUCAAGCAGGAGUAGGGUUUUACCUCCAUCGAGAGGGCCCGAACCUGGGUAAAAACAUCGUGUCCCUUGUCUCCUGUUAUCAUCUGCCUAGACGCACAGUUCGGGACCCCCUACCCGAGAUCCGCCGGUUUUGACACCGACAUUGGUGCUUUCAUUGAGAGUUCCUCUGUGCCGUCACAAUCAGGAAGGAUGCCUCUUCCCGUCUUUAAAGACGGUACCAUUGCCAAGGGAGCUUCGGCCACCGGCCAAACUAUCCGGCUAGGUGGUUUUCUUAUGACCGCCUGUUCGGCCGCCGCUCCGACAAUGACCUCUCGGGUCAUCAAAAGCGAUCUUCACGUCAACUCGGAAUUCGCCGAGCAGCUGGAUCCGAUGGAGCUCUCUUCCGUAAAAGAGCUCUUGGAUCGCAUCGCCGCCCUGGGAGUCGCUACAGACUACGAUCAGAUUGGGCUUAAAACCGAUCUGAGAGAGAUUAACUCUCCCCAGGCUACCCACCACGUUGCGGUGGUAGAGGAACAACGCGGCGACUCUUCUUCUAUAUUAAAGACCAGUUAUGUCCGGAUUCCUAAUCCCUCCAUGCCGGAUUCCCGCGGAGGGACGAACGUCAAUCAAGUACUGAACCUAAAGUCAGGCAGUGGACCAGAUUCGUUGGAGACCAUCCAGCAAUCCAAGCUUCCAAAUUCGGAAACUUUUCGGCCCUUGAGCCUCAAAUUGGGCGGGCUUCUAGACUUAAUUCCACCCGCCCACCCAAACAUAAGCGAUCUAUCUCAAAUCCGACAAGAGCCCACUGAAACAGUACAUCAUUACUGGGCCAGAUUCCUCCUGGUUAUGGACAGGAUAAAGGACUGCCGUGAGGAAAGCGCAAUCUCAAUUUUCUGCAACAAUUGCACGGACAAGGGAAUCAUGAACGCCAUAAGUCGUCGCGAAAUUACAGGCUUCGCCGACCUGGCGUCCAUAGUACCAAAGUACUGUGCAAUGGAGAGUGCCUGUAAAACCGAAACUAAGUUUUGGGACAAUCCGGCUCCGAACACAACCCUAGUCCGAAACAAAAGGGUGCAUCAUGCUCAGGCACCCAGGAUAAAAACCAAAAAGCAAAAACCCCCUAAAGGGCACGGAACCGUACUGGAGGGAUGGCUCAGCGGACCCUGUAAAAUCCACAGUACAGAGGGCGCCACUCCAACACAUAGCCUUCGAGCAUGUUGGAUACUACGGUAGGUGGCCAAAAGUGGCGAAGAGCUCCUAGCCCCGGAGAACCAGCCCAACAGUACCAGUACGGUAUUAACAGUCUUCGAGACUUUCGCAUCAAACAAUAUGCGGAAACGAACACUCCAUAGCCUUGCCGAAGUCUACCAAGUAGCAACAAUAAAUCCAUGGAGCGACACGGCUAUCACCUUCAACGCCAGCGACGAACCUAAAUUCCGAACAGCCCGAGCACCAGCCGCAUUGGUCCUUAGUCCAAUAGUGGACGUCUUUCGUCUUACCAAGGUACUCAUGGAUGGCGGCAGCGGAUUAAACCUCAUCUAUGAGGAAACCCUUCGAAAAAUGGAAAUAGACUGGAGCCGCAUUGAGCGAAGCAGCACAACCUUUAGAGGAAUAAUCCCUAGUCGGGAAGCACGUUGCACAGGAAAAAUUACACUAGAUGUGGUGUUCGGCUCGCCGGACAAUUACAGGUCCGAGGAGGUCACGUUCCAAGUGGCCCCGUUCAGCAGCGGAUAUCAUGCUUUAUUAGGGUGAGAGGCAUUCACAAUUUUUCAAGCUAUACCCCAUUACGGGUACAUGAAGCUUAAAAUGCUCGGGCCCAAUGGAAUCAUCACUCUUGUCAGUGAUCCGGACAUAGCACUCCGCGCUGAAAAUAAGACAGCCCCACUAGCCCUAGAGGCACUAUCCGAAGCCCUAGCGGCAGAGGAACUCACUGCGCUGCGCUCCACGGUGAACAGGGACGAUGUGAUACUCGAUAAGAGAUCCAAGUCCACCUCUUUUAAACCAGCAGACGAAAUAGUCAAAUUCCAAGUCCAUCCAACGGACCCCACAAAGACGGCCUCCCUUGGGGCACAAUUAAACCCUGAUGUAGACGCCGCACUAUGAGAAUUCCUUCGGGAAAAUUGGGACAUUUUUGCCUGGCACCCUUCAGAUAUGCCAGGAAUCCCACGCAGGUUGGCAGGACACAGCCUAAACAUCCUAAAAGGAUUCAAGCCAGUCAAAUAGGCUCUUCGGUGAUUUUCCGAACCCAAAAGACAGGCAAUGGGAGAGGAGCUAGCCAAACUAUUAGAAGCCGGAUUCAUCAGAGACAUAAAACAUCCGGACUGGCUAGCGAACUUGGUAAUGGUACCAAAAAAGGACAAAUCCUGGCGCCUGUGUGUCGAUUUUAAAGACCGUAACAAGGCCUGUCCAAAGGAUCCUUUCCCCCUUCCCUGCAUCGAUCAAAUCAUCGAUGCUACCUGUAACGCCCUCGAUGCGGCUAUAUCUCCCACGUGUCGAAGCACGACUUAGAGGCAUAACCGCAUUGAAAGCAAUGUCGCAAGUGAGGUAAUCUUCGCACAAUCCAUGUAAUACAUAAGGGAAAAGAUACAUAGUCGGCUUACAGUCGCCACUUCACACAAUACAUAAAUAAACAUCCAUCAUUCAGUUUACAAUCAAGGUCCGACUACGGAACCAAAAUAAAAGAAGACUACCCCAAAUGCAACACAGAUCCCCGAUCGCCCCAACUGGGCUCCACUACUAAUCGUCUGGAAAUGAAACAUAGUAACGACCAAGGGCCUCAUCAAAUUCCCACUUCAGCUCAGUUGCGCCCUCUACGCUGGUAUCAUCGGUACCU